rnacentral:lncRNA from 1 species
UGGAUCAAGGCAAGUAUAGCAUUUGGAUUUUAUUUCUGUGACCAUGAUCGUGUGGCUAGAUUAAUGUUAAGUAAUAAACGAUAAAAAUGACUUUUUAGCAACUUGAUGAUUUGUCUGUACGUGAUCACCCGGGACAACAGUGCAACCAUGAGGGCUAUAAUGGCUCUGGCUUUAGUUAAGUAUGAGUAACUUUUCUAGCUCGUUAGCGGUUACCCGUUGUGGCGCAAUUGGGGAAUAGCAGACCGUGGAUUCCUGCGGGUGAAUCACAUGGACUGACUAAUGAAACCAAGCGGCCCUAACUUGUUAGACGAACCUUUGAAAGACUUCAUAGUGAUCCCUGCCGACCUUCCUAGGAAGGGGGUUAAGAGAUUAGCUACCUAGGGUGAAAGGGUAAAUCAUGACUCAUGGGUAAAGAUGUGCAACCUCUGCAGAGGGUUAAAAACUAGUAUACUAGCCGAGCUCACGGUCAGGAGCGGCCUUGGGGACAUCUACAUUAAGGGUGAUGAUUCUUGUGUGUUAAAUGUGCUCAUUAUUUAUUAUUUAAUGCUUUACAUAGUUUAUGUCACAUUGAUCAUGAGAUUGUGGGAGCUAUACAAUCUAGUUGCUAUACUUGUGGAGUUCGACAUGGACUCACUCUUGCUAUUUCCCCCAAACCUCAGGAGAAGUUUAGGCUUGUGAUCAACCAGUCAGUUGGAUCCUGUAGAGAGAAGUUAAUACCCGGAGUUUGGAGUUGUCUAUCCGCUGUUUGCUAUCAAAGGUUAUCUCUUUUAUAUUAUGUACGUUAUAUAAUUUAUGCAUUGUCUUUUGAUAUUACCCCUUAUUUGUAGCUAUAUGUGAGAUUUGGCUUCUAAGACUCACAUAUGGUGCAUAUCUGGUUUUGUCCUUAAAAUCGGGUAUUACACAGAAGUUUUACCUCAUUUGAGAGUUUGUUAGGCGAGGUGAAAUCAAGAUGUGCAAAAUACAUAAGGAUUUGAAUAUUGUAGAUCCUUUAACAAAGGCUCUUCCACAACCUAAGCAUGAGGCAGACUUGAGGUCUAUGGGUAUUAGAUAUCUUAGAGUUUGACUUUAGUGCAAGUGGGAGAAUAUUGGUAAUAUGCCCUAGAGGUAAUCAUGGAGAUGAUGAUAUUAUGAUUGUAUCCAUGACAUAUAUUAUGAGUUCAAUGUAUCCAUUAUAGACAAACUUGUAUCGAUUGACAAUUAUGUGAAUUAUUUGUGAAACUCUUUUACUUGUAUGAUUAUUCUAUAGUGUUCCUAAUUAGAGUUCAUGUGAGGACACAUAUGAAUAUUAGAUUAGCACUUGUAUUAGUUGAUGACUAUGUUUCACAAGUCAUAGACAUAGAGAUGUCAAACUAAUAAUGUGGCCACAUGUAUGACAUGGGGCUGGACUAGCCCAACUUGAGAUGUUCUUAUUAUCUCUUUAUGCAUCAUGUACAUUAUGUCCUUAGACCUAUGAUUAUUGUAUGUUCUCAAGAUGUGAAACGACCUACUUAGGGACUAUUAAACACUACUCCGUAAUAGGGUAGUUAUAAACGUGGUCUUCAGGUUUGUCGAAAAACAUGCUGAGACAUAGAUAAGAUGGAACUUGCCCCUCUCUAUGUAAGAGAGAUAUCACUAGAUCACUCAAGUGAUUGGAUCAACAAAGAGAGAUUUACUUGUGUGGCCCUAAAAAAAUGCCUCUUCCUUGUAUGGCUUCUUUUUUUUGAACUUCCUUCUAUGACCCUUAAAUGAAUUUUCAUUCCUUCUAUGGCCUUCAGUCCGUUUUCAACACUUAACAGUGUUAAGUGGAGGGUAAAAAGACCACAAUACCCCUGGCAUGAAAUUUUUUUUCACAAAGUUUGGUUUGUUUCUUGUAUAAAUGAAAUUUUUGAGCAUAUACUGUACUGUGAUGUUGUCCAAAUAUUUAUAUUUAUUAUGAUCCAAAUAUGUAGUGUUAUAAUGCCUAAAUUGUCAAUUUAUUUGUUUACUAUUACUCAAAAUAUACAAGAAACAAACUAAACUUUGCGAAAAAAAUUGAUGCCACGGGCAUUAUGGUCUUUUUAUCCUCCACUUAACACCGUUAAGUGCUGAAAAUGGACAGAAGGCCAUAGAAGGAAUGAAAGUUCAUUUGAGGGCUAUAGAAGGAAGUUCAAAAAAGAAGAAGCCAUACAAGGAAUAGGCAUUUUUAGGGCCAUACAAGUAAAUCUCUCAUCAACAAAUGCAUGGUUGGUGAUACUAGAUAUGUACACAGAGAAAUAAUCCGCAAACACAUGGAUAUCGGUGAGCACUUCACCCGAGAAAUAUUCUAGAGUAUCGUUAUUUAUUUAUCCGCUAGGAGAAAGCGUGCAUCUAACUAACCCAAAUCUAUACUUAAACCCUAGGCUACAGACAAGAUAGUGAGAUAUGAGCAAUAUAGAGAGAAUUACUUUGUCAGUCUUUCUCUAACCAGUGGUAAGCUAUGUAGUUAUUGUUCUAAGGGGGUACCUAAGGAAAAGUGACACCUCAGAGAAUGCUUAACCCUGACACACUAUUUUCUACCUUACCUCUUGACAGGACAUGAAUUACGAAGACACCAAGGGGACUGUCACUUCCCCCCACUAUUACCACAGAUCCAGCUAGAUAGGGAGUAUCUACGAGUAUUCUUAGCCCAAGCACCACGCUUACGCUACAAAUAAUUACUCUAUUCCCUACAUGAAGCGAAUAAAUAAACCCAUAAACCAAAGAACAAUAAGAACAAUAAACUUACUAGUAUUAGGAGUUGAAUUGCCGAAUGAUCUUAGAACCAAGCCUCGGGUUACGAGACUUUGAUCCCACAGAUACAACUAGAGAGGAGACACCGAUAGGCUAGGCUUCCUCCACUUCUAUCUCCACACUAUACUCUCUCAAUCUCUCUUGUUGCUAAAACCCUAAAGAGACAGUUCCAUUCAAGGGACCCCUCUCUAGCUAAUUCUCUCUGAAAAAUAUGAAUUAGGGUUUCUAAAUUGGAACUAAUCCAAGGGCAGGGGCCCUGCUUAUAUAGCCCUCUUGAAUGCACCACAACCCUCGGAUCAAACCAACCUAAACAUGUGGUCAAGAUUACUUCUCAAAGUUAGUGGUGGCAGGAUCCGCAAGAUUGAGCCUGAUUGGCUGAGGGAGAUGUGUGGCCGCCCUGGCCCUAUGGGUGGGCGCCCCUGGCUAGCUACCAGGUGGUCCUAGCUUUGCAGGGCCGCCUCCUCGAGUCUUCUAGAUUGUUCUUGAGUUGCUAUUCGCGGUAUUCUCUCUAUGUAAAUCUGACAUGUGGACCAUCUUUGGUUGUUUUCAGCUGACACCCUGCAGAAAUAGACAUUCACCAAAACUCAUGGAAUUCUGUUAGUGAUAACCCUAUAUCUACUAGGUGUUUGCAUAUAGAUCUAUUUUCAUGUUUAGUUGAUGGUUAAAAUUAAGAGUUAUCUACCAUCAACAAUGGUUGUGCUUGGGUUAAGUGUUAACCCACAAGUUGAACGAAAUAUCAUGUGAUAAGGGAAUAGCAUGUGUGUGUUUGUAGUGGUUCAUCUGAUAUGAUCUUUGCAUGCGUAUAGGAGUUGUCACACCUUGCUAGAGGCCGCUAUCAACUAUUAGACGAGUAAGGAGUACUUGGCCUAUGUCUAUAUAUACGUGAACCCAUAGGGCCACACGCUUAAGAGGCUGGAAGAAUAAUUCGGGUUAGACCCGAAUUAGACAAGGCUUAGAGUUUUCUAAUUGGGCCUCCAACUCGAGGUUGAUUAGGAGACUCCAAUAUAAGAGACGGAGGGGGCAUGACUAGAGUUAUCUCAUGCCAUUUGGUAGCCGCCGCCACUGACCCAUGCCCAUGCCUGUUGCUCCUAGCAGACAUAGCAAUCCGGAGGUGUGAUGCUUCUUCCCUAUAUGUGUGGGAUACCUUGGAGGUGUUACAUCUAGAGCACACGGACGAAUCACACGAGAGGGAUUGACAUGAUAGACAACCAUGCAACUGCACGACACUGCUACUACAUGCACGACUACACCGAGUCACUUCUGCUGCACCUAUGCGUCUAGUGGUAAUCCCAUGAUCUAUAACUAGCAGUUGAUCCUAUUUUAUGAGGUCAAAAUAUUUUUUUCUGGCUAGCGUAGCGUCCUCAUAAUCCUUGACGCUGUAGCAUUUAUAGUAGGAGGAAUAAUGGAGAUGAGUGCCAUAAGAAAACCACCCCUAUUAAUCACAUAUUAAUGGAGACCGUUACUAUAAAGGGACCACCUCCAUUAAUGCAGCCUAAGGCAACCGCCUCCAUUAAUGUGCAUUAACAAAGGUGGCCCUUUUAAAGUGACCACCUCUAUUAAUGUUUAAUCGAGGCGGGCCUUUGGGUGGCCGAGUGGGGCUGGCCGCGCCAGGAACAAUGGAGGCGGGCAAAAAAUGUCCCCGCCUCCAAUCUCAAAAUGGCAACACUACCUAAAACAAAACAUGUACUAGUGCACAAGCACAACACAACAAGGAGCAGCUUUGGUAAGAGAAGUCGAAGAUGUAAUAGAGGCACGACUAUAGGAGUGCUCCAUUGAUGCCUUCAUGAAGUGCAGUGACAUCCACAAACGUACUAUCGUUGGAAACAAGUACAAGAGUAGGAUUUUCACCCUAAGGCCUACCCGAGCGACAUGCCCAAUGAAUAGAAUCUUCAACAACGUGUCCAAGAAGGUAGAUAAAGCAAGUUGUGUCAUCGUUGCUGCCUAGAGUAAGAAGCUAGGUGGGGUUUAAUUUUCACCGAGAAUCCAUUCGUCCAUUGAUAUGAAUAGGCACAAGACAUGGCCACCCCACGCAGCCUAAGCAUAGGCCAUAAGCAAUCAAUGCGCAAGCACUUCCUGUGCAGGACCCAAGCCACCAAGGACAACAGCAUGAACAUGGCCUCACCACACUGAGGCCACAAACAACCAUGUCGUUGCGCUAGAGCAAGUGCAGUCAUAGGGGACUCACCCCAAGAGCAGUGCAAAAGACAAGCACACGAAUGAUGACCUCUAGCAGCACCACAAGGGCCUAGUACGAUCCAUACAACCCCAAAUAGGGGGAGGCAGGCACGCUACCAACCUUAGGAAGCACCCUCGAACGGAGGAGGCUGUCCAGGAGCCAUGCCCAGCCUAGGGCCUUGUGGGGAACCAUGAGGCUCGCCACAAGGAAUGCGGCCAUGUAGGACGCCGCGGCGCUGACCACCCCUACACCUGUAGUAAAUGCCAAGGCUACCACUAUUGCGCCACACUCCAAAUCUAGGAGAAGGUGGGAGAUCUAGCCCUAUAGGACCUAGAUCCCCCUAAAGUCACUGGCCACCCACUCAACCAAAGAUGAAUGGAAAGAGGAGGGGUGGUAGGGGAAGUGGAAGGUGGAGAGGAGAGGCACUAUGGACGACACCUAGUCGAGCGCCCCCGCUCACUGGAGAGUGGCAUUGGUGGCCGAAGGGGUGGCAGGAUAGCCAAGUUUGUGGCAAUGCUGGUGAGUCUUGUGUGUCUCUCUUUCAUCACACAUCGAGGUCAUGGUCGUUGUGUGUCAUGUGUGUCACAGUGGGGUGGUGGCACUUGGGUGGUAAGCAACCCUGAGGGCUGAGGACAAUGGCACUUGGGCAUUGGCGGCGAUGCUAGGUACGGUGGACGUAGGCGGAGGCAAGCUGAGGGGGUGGCAACGGAGAUGAGUGGGUUUGGCGGCGUCGUAGGGGUUGAUGCGCGAGGAGGGAAAGGGGUGGGAUGUGUUACUAGAUGCACGCUAGCGGCAUGGUCAAGGGGGUGAAUGUCAUAUUGGUUUGUUUUAGGGUUUUUCACAUGGAGUGCAAAGCAUAACCCCCUUUUUUGCCAUGCCUGUAAUCUACAGGCGCGAAGAAAUAUUCCAUAGGGCAUGAAGUAAUAUUCUUUUCAUGCCACAUGUCAAAGAUGGGUCAUGUCGGUUUUUUAGCCAUCAGGAUAGCAUUGCUAUUGAUUUUUGGCGGUCGACGCGGGAGUUGUUGACUUACACGUAGAUUUUGGCAAUCUACACUGCACGAGUCUAGAUUUUUUUUUGUUCCUUUUCUUUAAAAUCUCUUUGAGACGGAGAUGCUCUAAUUAAAAACAUGUCAUUAAUGUCACUUACACGUAUAUGGGCGCAGCCAAUAUAUAGCAGAUGUUUCGUUCAGGUCCAGGUGCAGAUCAUCACGCGUACGUACGUGCCUCUGACGAAACAAACGACCGACGACAUCCUUUCUUAGACAAGGGGAGAGCCGUUCAUUUCGUACCCGCGCGCGUCUGCAGUGGAUUAUACUAGUAGUAAGUAUUAUCGCCUUGUUCAGUUGCCAAACAAAUUUGGUUUUGAGCGCUGUAGCGUUAUCUUUUGUAUUUUACAAUUGUUGUCCAACUAUAGACUAACUAGACUCAAAAAAGAUUCGUAUUGUAAAUUACAAAUGAACUGUGAAAUUAAUUAUUUUUUAUAUUUAUAUUUAAUAUUUCAUAUUUGCGUCUAAAGAUUCGAUGUGACAGGGAAUCUUGAAAUUUUUUAGAACUAUAAACAAGGCCUAUAUACAUAUUAUCAUAUAUAUAACGCGCAUCUGUGGCGGCGGCGUACUUGCGACUCUCUUGUGGAAUAUUGCACCUUAAGCCAUGCAUAUGUUUGAGCUGCACAUAGCCAUAGAUAUAUGCACGUACGCUAGCUAGUGGAUUACCAGGCUUGCUUCGUUGGACCCACUUACCAAUCCCAAGCCGGCCGGCAGCCGCCAAUCAACCGUAAUCACGAAGGCCUCAACCGUCAUUACGAAGGCUAGUGGUGUUUGUUGUGUGUAUAUAUACACACGACCGAUCAUCAUCGAUUCAUCACAACAAAAUCCGUCCAUACCCAUACUUACAUAUAUCUACAGACUGCACCCACCAACAAUUUAUUCAGGCUACACGAUCUCCAAUUUCUGAGCUACAUAUAUACAGUAGUACUCCAGAUUCUUCUCGAUCGUACGGUUCUUAGAGGUAUGGCCGUUUCAGCUCGAGUCUUCACGCUCUUGCUGCUCGCAGCUGCCGGUUGGGUGCCGGCCAUGGCAGCUAAUGCUCCUGCACCAACCGGGUGGCUGAAGGCGCAUGCCACCUUCUACGGAGGCGCUGAUGCCUCCGACACCAUGGGUAAGCUAGCUGUGUGCUGGCCGACGAUAUCACAUCCGUCAUCGUCUGAUCUAAUAAUGUAUAUAUGUAUGUAUUGAUGGCAGGCGGCGCGUGCGGGUAUGGGAACCUCUACUCCCAGGGCUAUGGUACGCGGACGGCGGCGCUGAGCACGGUCCUCUUCAACGACGGCGCCUCGUGCGGGCAGUGCUACAAGAUCGCUUGUGACCGCAAGAGAGCUGAUCCGAUGUUCUGUAAACCUGGUGUCACGGUGACCGUCACGGCCACAAACUUCUGCCCACCCAACAUGGCGCUGCCCGAGGGGGGUUGGUGCAAUCAGCAUCGCCCGCACUUCGACAUGGCGCAGCCGGCAUUUGAGAAGAUCGGCGUGUACAGCGGCGGUAUUAUCCCCGUCAUGUACAAGAGGUAUAUAUUUUUAUGUCAUUUCCUACAUACCUCUUCCAAGCUAGCUUCAAUCUAUCAUAAAUAAAACAGAAAAAUUAAUGGGAUGCAAUGCAAUAUCCUAAUACUACAACUAAUUCCUUGCUUGUAGAGUUCCUUGCGUGAAGCGAGGUGGCGUCAGGUUCAGCGUCAACGGCCAUGACUACUUCAAUCUUGUGCUUGUAACCAAUGUUGCGGCUGCCGGCUCCAUCAAGUCCAUGGAAGUCAAGACGUCCAAUUCAAGUAACUGGUCUCCAAUGGCACGUAACUGGGGUGCAAACUGGCACUCUCUUGCAUAUCUUACAGGGCAGAUGCUCUCAUUUAGGCUCACAGACACGGAUGGGCAAACUAUUGAAUUCACAGAUGUGGUGCCACAAGGAUGGAAGUUUGGCCAAACAUUUGCAUCCAAGUUGCAGUUCAUGUGAUGAUGAGAGCUCCAUCAUCCAGGAUUAUUAUUUAUAGGAGUUUGAUUUAAAGAUGUAUAACUGGUCAAAAUGCAUGAAUAAUGGAGUUGCUUGUAUAUUGUACUUGUACUCAUCAGCCAACGCUAUAUGUAUGGCUUUGUAUCUCUCAUUCUUCCUAUUGUACAGUCCUAUGUUUUAUUUUUUAUGGUGUAUAUAAAUAUGUUCAGUUUAUGUCUUCAGUAAUUCUGUUGUACCAAUGUAAACGUACAAUGGUUACAUGAGUUAUUGCUAAUACAAUAAUAACUUUGCUGGAUAUUCUGUCGAGCAACAAUUAUGAAUGCCAACGAACCGAUAUCAACCAAAUCGAGGCUAUAACACCCUCAUGACAGUGGUUAUAGUUCAAUGUAAUAAUAGGUCGAACUCCAUAAAUGAUAACAUAAAAUGCUUUUAAUAAUUAGGUUGUUGUGUUUCCAAUGAAACUUUAGGAUUAGAAUGAUACUUGUCGUUGAAUUCCCUGGUGCUAGUACAUCUCAAGAUUAUUGAUAAAGUCGCCAUAAAUAUUUUACUGUUAAGAGGCAUGUGGUCUACCACUAAAACAUGCACUCAAUAGAUCUUAGGAUUAACCAAAAUCCAAACCGACAGAUUACGCGAUAAUAAAUCCAACCAACUACACUCUUUAACUAUUCGUAUGGUACUUAAUUUGCCUUGAGUUUCCUUGGUCCUACAUCAAGGGAUCAUUCUUUAGAGUACUACCAUGUUAUGAUAAGUCUUGAAUUUAUUCAGUUGUUAAGGAUCUGCUGACACAAAUUGUUUUUUUGUGAAUGUGCCUGAGCAUGUGUUUCAUUAAGAGAAAAAGAAUUACACAAUGUUGCUCCAAGAGAACCCUGUAGCUCAGACUACAAAUAGCAAAGCUAGUGGUUAGAAACCUAGAUCGACCAAAAGCAACUAGAGAAAGAAGAGACGACUGGAAAAGGACCCUCUACCUCAAAACUAUAAUCGACUAGAUGUGUGAAAGGAAGAUUACACCAACAAUGGUUGCCAACAAAGAAGAUGAAGCUGCGGUGGCAAAGCAUACACUGAUAAGAGACAAGAUAAACAUUUGGCAUUAACGACAGCAAAGCAUCCUCCAAAGAUGACCGGGGCAACAAAAGCGACAAAGCAUCUGCAUGUGAAGAGUCCACCAUGUUCUCGGCAACAAAGCAUCUUCCUGAGAGGGGGGACUGAGGUGACGUCGAUGGCAAAACAUCUACCUUGAGUAGCAAUGAUGGCAAAGCAUCUACCGAAGAAGAGCGGUCGUGGCAAAGAAUCCGCCAAGAAGAAGAGCGGUGGUGGCAAAGUAUCUGCACACACGGGCAAAGACUGCAAGGAUAGUGAGAGGAGUCAAAGAUGUAAGAGGCACGACUAUAGGAGUGCUCCAAUUAUGCCUUCAUGAAGGGUAGUGACAUCCGCAAACGCUACUAUCAUUGAAAAUAAGCACAAGAGUAGGAUCUUCGCCCCAAGGCCUACUCGAGCGACAUGCCCAAUGAAUAGAAUCUUCAACGAUGUCUCUGAGAAGAUAGAUAAAGCAAGUUACGCCAUCAUUGCUCCCUAGAGUAAGAAGUAGGGUGGGGUUUUCAUCGAGAAUCCACUCGUCCAUAGAUAUAUAUAUAUAUAGGCACAGGACAUGGCCACCCGAAGCAGCCCGAGCACAGGCCGCAAGUAGGUGAGGGCGCAAGCACUGGCCAUGGAGGACCCAAGCCACCAAGGACAAUAGCACAAACACGGCCUCAAUGCUGUCGUGCAAGAGCAUGAGCAUUCAUCAGGGACUCGCCUCCAGAGCACAUGAAUGACGAUCCCUAGUAGCACCACCAGGGGCUAGUAGGAUUCAUACGACUCCAACAAGGAGGAGGUAGCACGCUAGCAACUUCAGGAAGCACCCCUGCGUGGAGGAGGCCACCUAGGAGCCAUGCCCAACCCAGUGCCUCGUGGGAUCCACGAGGCCUGCCACGUAGGACGCCGCCAUGCUGGCCAUCGCUACACCUAUAGUAAACGCAAAGGGUACCACCGUUGUACCACACUCUAAAUCCGGGGAGAAAGGUGGGAGAUCUAGGCCUAGAUCCCCCGAAAGUCACUAGACACCCACUCAACAAAAGAUGUAGGGAAGAGGAGCAGCAUUAACGACAACAAAGCAUCCUCUAAAGAUGACCGGGGCAACAAAAGCGACAAAGCAUCUCCAUGUGAAGAGUCCAUCAUAUUCUCGGCAACAAAGCAUCUUCCUAAGAUGGGGGACUGAGGUGACGUCGAUGGCAAAACAUCUACCUUGAGUAGCAAUGAUGGCAAAGCAUCUACCGAAGAAGAGCGGUCGUGGCAAAGAAUCCACCAAGAAGAAGAGCGGUGGUGGCAAAGUAUCUGCACACACGGGCAAAGACUGCAAGAAGCAGCUCUAUUUAGAGGAGUCAAAGAUGUAAGAGGCACGACUAUAGGAGUGCUCCAAUGAUGCCUUCAUGAAGGGUAGUGACAUCCGCAAACGUUACUAUCAUUGAAAAGAAGCACAAGAGUAGGGUCUUCGCCCCAAGGCCUACUCGAGCGACAUGCCCAAUGAAUAGAAUCUUCAACGAUGUCUCCAAGAAGAUAAAUAAAGCAAGUUACACCAUCAUUGCUCCCUAGAGUAAGAAGUAGGGUGGUGUUUUCACCGAGAAUCCACUCGUCCAUAGAUAUAUAUAUAGGCACAGGAUAUAGCCACCCGAAGCUGCCCGAGCACAGGCCGCAAGUAGGUGAGGGCGCAAGCACUGGCCAUGGAGGACCCAAGCCGCCAAGGACAAUAGCAUGAACACGGCCUCAAUGCUGUCGUGCAAGAGCAUGAGCAUUCAUCAGGGACUCGCCCCUAGAGCACAUGAAUGAUGAUCCCUAGUAGCACCACCAGGGCCCAGUAGGAUUCAUACGACUCCAACAAGGAGGAGGUAGCACGCUAGCAACCUCAGGAAGCACCCCUGUGUGGAGGAGGCCACCUAGGAGCCAUGCCCAACCUAGUGCCUUGCGGGGAUCCACGAGGCCUGCCACGUAGGACGCCGCCGUGCUGACCAUCGCUACACCUGUAGUAAACGCAAAGGCUACCACCGUUGUACCACACUCUAGAUCCGGGGAUAAAGGUGGGAGAUCUAGGCCUAGAUCCCCCAAAAGUCACUAGACACCCACUCAACCAAAGAUGUAGGGAAGAGGAGCGGCAUUAACGACAGCAAAGCAUCCUCUAAAGAUGACCGGGGCAACAAAAGCGACAAAGCAUCUACAUGUGAAGAGUCCAUCAUGUUCUCGUCAACAAAGCAUCUUCCUGAGAGGGGGGACUGAGGUGACAUCGAUGGCAAAACAUCUACCUUGAGUAGCAAUGAUGGCAAAGCAUCUGCUGAAGAAGAGCAGUCGUGGCAAAGAAUCCGCCAAGAAGAAGAGCGGUGGUGGCAAAGUAUCUGCACACACGGGCAAAGACUGCAAGAAGCAGCUCUAGUGAGAGGAGUUGAAGAUGUAAGAGGCACGAUUAUAGGAGUGCUCCAAUGAUGCCUUCAUGAAGGGUAGUGACAUCCGCAAACGUUACUAUCAUCAAAAAGAAGCACAAGAGUAGGAUCUUCGCCCCAAGGCCUACUCGAGCGACAUGCUGUUGACGGUCCUUAAUGCUCACAUUUAACCAUCAACUAAUCAUGGAAAAGGACCUAUAUGCAACCAACAUCCAAAAUUAGGGUUUCAUCUGACAGAAUUCCACGAGUUUUGGUGUUUGUCUAUUUCUGUAGGGGGUUAUCAGGAAAUAUGGAGGAAAGGCCCACACGUCGGGUUUACAUUGAGAUAUUAACGUGUGCGCCAAUUAUCUAUCAUCUAGAAGACUCCAGAAGCCACAGGAACGAGCAGGAGGCCGAACGGGCCCGGGGGCUGGGCACUCGCCCUCCCCCUAGGGCGCCCGCCCAGCUACAGGAGCCAAUCAGGCUCCGUCUCGCGGAUCAUGCUCCACCGACCUAAAGGAUUAAGGAAAACCGUGCGAUUAAGAUCGGUUUGAUCCGACGGCCCAUAUUCGUUUGAUCCCCUGGCCCCUGGAGGACAUAUCUCUUCUAUAGAGUCAAAGCUAGGGUUUUGAAUUAUUCAUCCAAGUAGAGAGGAUCUCUCUAGUUCAUCUAGUUCUAGUUCAUCUAGUUCUAGUUCUAGUUAGUUCUAGUUGUAAUCUAGAAAAUAGGGAGUGUAACACCCUAGGUGUUAAGCAUGAAUUUAGCCCUAUCACCACAUGCAUAAGCAUUCUCAUCAAGCAUAGCAUCAUGAGCAUGUCAUUCAUCCCAAAACAUGAUUUUAUGUGCUUUAUUUCAUGUGUUUUAAUUAUGAUAAAAUAUGAUGCUUGCUUCUAAAAAUGUGAAAUAUUCAAACUAGGUUGAUUUAUGUGUAAGAAGGAUUUAGAGUAUUUUUGUGCAAUUUUUGGAGCUAUGGAAUUUGAGAAAUGGAAUUUAUACAAGAUUUCCAAAUUGAAUUUAUUUAAAAACCUAGAACUAAGUUUUAAUUUGUAAUUCAAAUUCUAUUUAGAAUUUGGUCUUGCUUAUUAAAGCAAAGUUGUAGAGUUUUUGUUUUGGAACAACAUUGUUUUUGGGAGCAAGAGGUAAAAAUGAUUUUAAAUUGGUCCAAAUGAAUUUAGAAAGAAUUUGGAGAAAAAAAAUUCAAAAAAAAAGAAAGGGGCAGGCGCUGUUGGGCCAACCCCGCUUCCCUUUCGGCCCAGCGAGCGGCCCGGCCUGCCUCCCCUUUCCCCUCUCUCCCGCACGCGCGGCGCCCACCUCGCUCCACCCGGCGCCGGCCACGUGGCGGCCGUACGCCGGCCUUGGACGCGCCGCGGCCGGCCUCCAACCCCCCCUGGUCGGGACGCCGGCUCGGGCUCCCAGGCCAUUUCCUCCGUUCUGUCCCCCGCGCCCUCCUUCUCCUUCCUCCCUCCGCUCGCACCGCGCAGCAGCAGCUCCUCCGCGCGCCAUCGCCGGAGAAAGCCCCGCCGCUCGCCGCCGACCGCACCAGAGCCUCAAGCUCACCGCCGAGAGCACCAGCGCCUUCGCCAUCGUUAGGGUAAGCUUGUGCGCGCGUUCUACCGAGGUGAGAGUCCGUCGAGCGCCGUGAAUCGCUCGCCGGAGUUACCCCGAGCUCGCCGGAGUGCUCCGCCGCGACGGAUCUUGUGUUUCUCUGCCUCAUUUCGCUGGUUCUUGGGUGCGCUAGGUCGGUAGGGUGGUGAGGAAGCUCGGAGAGCCGGUUGCGCACGCUCUACCGCACCGGAGCGGCCUGGCCGCGGCGAGCAGCGCCGCCGUGCCGCCAUGCAUGCUCGUCGGAGGUGUUCCGGUCAUCCUCCGGCCAAUCCAAGGGUACCGUUGGGUGCGCCUCGCUGCGGGGAGCACGUUGGUGCUUACCCCGUGGCCGGAGACCUCACCGCCGGCGAGAUCUGCUCGUCGGAGGUGAGCUCCCUCUCGGUCUCGCUGACCGGUGGGGUCGGGGACCCACUGUCAGUCGCAGGGGGAUCCCGGUGGGUGUAGAUCUGGGUGUGUGUAGCCUUUUUCGUCGGUUUUCUUGAAUAAAAGUUUUCUAGAAAUUGAUUUAAAACUUGUAAAAUUCAUAUCUUGAGUUCUACAGCUCCAAAUUGGAUGAAAUAAAUUUUGGUGUGUUCUAUAUUUCUAGAUCUACAGUUUGAUGUAAUUGCAUGUCAUGUUUGAAUAACUUUUCUGUAUGAAUGUAUUUAAUCUAUGUUUUUGCUAAAUUUGGGAAAUGCAUAGUAAAUAAAAUAUGGUUCAGAAAAAUGUGAAACUUGAUUUGUUGGCUCUGCAUGUAUGUUUACUCACUGGGAAAAUAUUGCUACAUAUUAUUUGGUGUAUAAAUGAAUUUAUGGUAAUUUAAAUACUUGCAUGGCAGUGAUUUAUGAUUUUUAAUAAUUAAUUGGAUCAUGCAAUAAAUCUGGAAAAUUUUGUGGGUGUUUCUUAUGAUAUUAGACAAAUUAUAAAAAAUAUGAAAUCUGUUGUUUGACACUUAUAUCAUAGUAGAGUGAUUAUACUUACCUUAUUAAUUAAUCUUGUGAUUUUUGUGACUCAAAAUAAGUAUCCAAAAAUUUUGAAAAAUUUACAGUAAACUUUAUGCUUAGCUGGUAGUCUCCUGUAAUUUUUGUGGAAUUUAUUGAUGAACAAAACUGCAUGUAAAUUUUAAAGGGCCUAGAAAUGAAUAAAGCAAAUUUUGAAUUGUUGUAUAUAUAUAUAUAUAGGUUGAAUAGAAUAAGUUGAGUUUGGUGUAUCUUUGAAGCAUCAUGAGGGUUGCUGGUUGCAUUUAAAAAAAAUAUAGUUGUGGAAGAGAAUACAAUAGAUGUUUGAUUCAAUGGUUUGUUCUUGGACGAUGUUGACUACCUUGUAAUGAGCAUGACCAAGUACAUUACAUAUGCAUCAUGUCAUGACUCCUUUGGUACUUUCUCAUACAAGCAUCCACUCGGGCAUCUCGCACUCCACUCAUAAGCACACAUGCAUCAUACAGGCUCGCAGGAGAACGAGGUGGGACCCGAGGAACCCGAGGAGACUCAGGAGCAGGAACCUCCGGAAGCACAGGAACCCGGAGAGGAACUGCAGGAGUGUCCGGAUCACCGACCCAACACGUUUGAGAAAGGCAAGCCCCGGAGCAUUCUAAGUCUCCCUAUUCUCGCUAACUUAUAUGAAGUACUAUACUUGUUCUACUAUAUUGCAUCUAAGUGAUAGGAAUUGCUUGAUACCGUUGAUGCAUAUGUACUCCUUGUUAUCCCUACUCGUUCACCUACCUUGUCCUAUGUAGAUAGGCACGGAGUCUAUGCUUAGCUUGCUUAGUCCGGUAGAAGUCGGGUGAUUUCCUGUCACCUGCGAGAUAUAGGUGGAUACCUGCUUGAUUAAGCAUUGGUUGCUCGGGGAAAAGAAUAACCAAGUGUGGAUUGAAUUUGGGGACCGGGCAGGGUCUUAUGGUGGGUUGACCAUAGUGCCCCUGCCUGUGUCGAUUAAGGACCGAUCGUUGACGGCCCUCUUGUCAUGUUGAACGCAUGCCCCACAUUUAGCUGGAAGGAUAAGUCGUUCCGACCGCGAAGCCUGAGCACUAUCCGGGCCGGGAAUCGGCCCGAUGUACGCGCUGUAUUGGUGAUGGUUGAGGAGAACGACGAGGGCGCGGCGCACAACCUUGGUAUACCUUGGAUACCUCGGUCGCCGGAACGGUCCUCGGGUACGGGCGGUGCCUGUCGAACCCGCGAAUUGGUCCUGGAUAGUGCAAUACGGUGACCUGUAGCUCGCUUGAUCAGUGAGUGUGGUUUGUGUGGGGAAUAAACUCGCCAGCUGGUUAGAAAUCGAUUCGAAUCGCCAUCGCUCUUGGAUAGUGAGCACUUGACAUGAGCUUCGUCCUCGUAGUAAGGACUAUGGAACACUUGGGUUAUAAUGAAAGGGUUUAUGAAUGCUAUGAUGAAGUACUAUCAUAUCCCUAUACUUGCUUGUAAUAGUGCAUGUGCAAACCUAGAUAAUAGGUAAUGAUACUUUCAACUGGAGCAAAAUAAAAGAAGAAAGAUUUAUGUAGGUUAUGAUAGUAAAAUUUCGCGGUUUUGCAAAAUGGUUGUCAGCUACCCCACUAUAUAGCCUUCAUGAUCCUUGAUGAGUCUUUAUUUUAAGUUUAUGUCGGGUAAGUCUAGCUGAGUACCUUCUCGUACUCAGGGUUCUACUCCCAUGUUGUUUUGCAGAUGGUCAAAUGUACUAUGGUUAUUGCAUCCUCUGUCUAUACCCAGCCAUGGGUGAUGACUAGACCAAGGGCGAUGGUCACUCCGUCUCUUCUUUUGCUUUUGUGGGAAUGACCGAACUAUGGCACUGUAUCAGACUAAGCGUGUGUGUUGUAUUUUCGAACUAUGAAGCUUCCGCUACUUGAAGAACUUGGUUUGUAAUAAUUUUAAGAACUCUGAUGUAUUUUAUGAAUGUUGUAAUCUGGAUGUAUUUGUGAAUGGCGAUCGCUAAACUUAUUACGAUCUUGGCUGUUGUGCGAUGUGUGGUUUGAAAUCCUUCGAGAUUUCACGAACUACCGGGAUUAUAUGGGCUUAAGCGUGACGGUUUGACUACGCAAAUGGUCACUGUUAGGCUUAAUCUCUUAUAAUUUGGUCGGUUCUGUUACAGCUGGCAUCGGAGCAAGGUUUAGCGAAUUACUGUUCAUAAGUACGUUCUAAACAAAAUCUAAACCGGUCUAAUAAAGGAUUUUAUUAAUUAAUAAUGAUCAAGGUGUUAAACUAAGUUUUGGAAAACUAUCUAGUGUGCCAUGGUCAUAUCCUUUAUGCCCAGUUAAGGACUCUAAGGUGGCUAGUUAAGUACUGACGUGGGGGUUAAUGCAUCAUAUUUUUAUUUCGUCGCUCAUACGGCGUGCAAUAGUAUGAGUACCAUUCAUUUGAGUGGUAAUGUAUGGAUCCAUUUUUCCUCUACGCCACAGUAAGUGGGAGCUGUGAGAGCAUGAUCGGAUACACUGCCGGUCUAGGGGAGUGUUGUCAGGUACUGUGUCAUGCACACAUGUUUGGUGUGUCUUGGGAACAGUACCGCAUGUUGGGAAUUCCGUCUUGAGAGGUGAUGCCGUCAUUAGGGCGAUGAUGUGGGUAGUGACACGUCAUAUGCAUGGACGGGUGUCCGUGUAUGUGAAGUGCAUAGUUUUAAAUUCUUGUUCUGCACGAUCAUACUGUGGGUGGGCUGAAAUGAGUUUUUCUGCAGGUACACUAACCACGUUCUCGCUUAGAACGCUAGUUACGUUUUGAGAGAACGUUGUGUGCCACCGCAUAUACCGCUUAGUGUUAAUCUUUGUUUCUAAGUUUGUGAGGUCGUAAGUUCGUGCAUGCAUCAUGUUCAUGUCAUAUCAUUGCUUACUUUCCCCCUUAAUUUAAUCUGUCCCAAUUCUAAAUAAAAUAAUUAAAGGUAAUCCUCACUCUUACCCACGGUAUUCCAUUUGCAGCAGAUGGCACGCACUAGGCUCACCGCUCGCAAGUCCACUGGUGGGCGGGCCCCUCGCCAUCCGUUGGCAGCUAGGAGCUCACGACAUAAGAGCAAGUUCCUGGAGGAGUUUGGGAUGCCCACUUUGCUUUGGAGGGUGCUCAGUUCGAUGGGGUAUCCCGAAGGAAGGGAGCCUCGCUACUAUUGGGAUAAGGAGCCGCUUGGUGACGAGACCCUGGUGGGGAUCGAGGCAGUUGUCCCUACCAGUGGAGGUGACCCUGCUUGGGGCGGCUGGGUGUACGAGUCCCGAGGUGUCACGCCUUUCCACGGUGCCAGCAGGGCAGCUUUCGCAGUUCUGAGGAACCUCAUGGAGAGGUUUCCACAGGAGCUGGCCCACGCCUUCGCUGGGGUGUUUCCCCUGGGUGACCCCUACACUUCGGUGUGGGAUCAGUCCGAGGUGAACGCUCUAGAGAGGAGUGCGGAUGAGGACCAGCACAGUGACAGUGCAGCUAUGAGUGCCAUGUACGCGUUGAUGAAGACCUAUGGAGGCCUAGAGCGUUGUUUGGGUCGCUUGUCCGGGUCUCUUCUCACCGUCCAGGAUGAGAAGCGUCAGUUGCAGCGUGAGUUCGACUCUGAGGUUGAGAGGCUACAGGCAGAGUUGGCCUGUGUGACCAGAGAGAGAGAUCAGGCAGUCCAGAAGAACAGUGAGCUGAGUCGGGACCUGCUUGCAGUGCGAGAGCAGAGGGAUAGGGUGACCACUACUCACAGGAACUGCGAGCGCAUGCUAGUCCAUGUGCUUGGACAGAGGAAUGAAGCCUGGCACGAGGAGGACACUUUGAGGGCCCGACAGCUGGAGCUAGAGCAGCAGCUAGCUAAUGCUGAGGAGUACAAUGAGAACUUGUAUGAGGAGAUCCAUCAGCUGCAUAACCAGCUCCACCCUCAGCACCUGCCUAGAGCAGCUGAGCUAGACUCUGAGGACGAGAUGGACGCGGAUCCCGAGAUAGGAGCAGCUGCUAGUGGAGAUGAGGAUGAGGAUGGCUCCGGCAUGGACAGUGACCAUAGCAAGUAGAUGCUAGGGCUCUAGAGCUAGUCCUUCUUCUUGUGUUGUUGUAUGUUGCAUGGCAUGUCAUGUACUUUUGGAUCUGGGCUAUGUAAGACUUUAUGAGUUAAUGCUAAAAGUCCAGUGUAUGUAUGCUGGCGAGUUGGAUGUAGGCGAACCUUGUUGCGUGAACGUUAAGCAAUCUGUUAGUGAUGUUGUGCGUAGAUGAUGAAUUGUUGAGCCUCUAUUUAUUGUGCGAAUUUAUUCCCUCAGUAAAUUCAGUACGGCACAAUUCUACACAUUUCUACCGUUGAUGGCAACUCCUAACAAAUGCUUAUCAUUGACGUAUGCAGAUGGUGCAAACACGUGGCGGGGGUAACAGCAAUCCGGGCCUUGGAGCAGGUAGAUCCGGAGGUGGGGCUCAACGGAAUGAGGACAGAGCACCAACACCGCCACCACCACCGCCUCCUCCGUACACUGCGGACGUGUUUUUCGCGCAGUUUCUGGGGAGCCAACGCAACAUGGAACAAAUGCAGCGCAACAUGGAAGAGGCUCUGCGCAACAUAGCUGACAACACCCGUCGUGGGGAUAAUCAGGGUGGCCGAGAGGUCAACCAGUACAGUUCGUUCAAGGACUUCAUGGAUACCAAGCCACCAAUCUUCAAAGAGGCUUUGGAACCGCUUGAGGCAGAUGAGUGGAUCAACACUAUGGAGCAGAAGUUUCAUCUUCUCCGAAUGACAGAAGAACUUAAGGCUGAGUAUGCGGCACAUCAGUUGCAAGGACCCGCUGGGAUUUGGUGGUCCCAUCACCGUACCACCUACCCAGAGGGGACCCCAAUCACCUGGAACCGCUUCACCACCGCUUUCCAGGGAAAUUACAUUCCUCCGGGUGUGGUUGAAAUGAAGGUUGGGGAGUUCAUGAGGCUGUCCCAGGGGACGAAAUCUGUGAAGGAGUAUCUACACGCUUUCAAUAAUCUCGCUCGCUAUGCCCCUGAGUUUGUAAACACGAAGGCUAAGAAGAUUUCUAGUUUCCAGAGAGGCUUGAACCCAAAGAUGCUGAAGACCAUGGGUACAGGGGCCAGGGCUACCUUCAAUGCCUAUAUCAGUGACUGUCUGACACAAGAGAACAAUAACAACAACUACAGUGCAUCCAAGUCACGUAAGAGGGCUUUUGAAGCCGGAUCAUCCUAGUCCAGGGCACCAGUGGCAGGGCGACAGCAGUAUCGUCCUCCUGCCCCAGGUGCUAGGUUCCGCCCGCCGCAGAGAAGGAACACCGGGCAUCCAACACAGCAGAAGCCGUACAAGGUGGCGAUAGCCCCUGCCAAGCCAAAGGCAAUUCAAGCUGCAGCACCUGCCGUCAACAAUGCGCCCAAGGGUCCGUGCUAUAACUGCCACAAGAUGGGGCACUUUGCUAAGGAAUGUCCCUACCCCAAGAGGCAGCAGCCAACCUAUCCAGCUCGUGUGCACCAUACCUCGAUCGAGGAGAUCCCGGAAGGAGAACCGGUAACAGCUGGUAUGUUUCCUGUCAACCAACAUCUCGCAGUUGUUUUGUUUGAUUCUGGAUCAUCGCAUUCAUUCAUGAGCCAAGCAUUUGCACAAAAACAUGACCAGCCAGUUACUGAGUUAGGUUAUGGCUACCGCAUCAGCUCAGCCGGAGCCGAUGUGUUGACUAAUAAAACAGUAACAGGAGUUACUUUGGAUAUCGGUGGCCGGAGGUUUCGCGUAAACCUUGUGGUCAUGCCAGGACUGGUUUUGGAUGUCAUCAUUGGAAUGAACAAGAUGACUGACUGGGGCGCGGUUAUAGACGCCGGGAAUAGAACCCUUUCCCUCAGAGACCCGCAAGGGAAGGGUGUGCUUCAGGUCAAGCUACCCCGACGGUUGGACUUCGCCAGUCUUUCGUGUGCAGUGCAGGUAGUUCCACUAGAACACAUACCUGUGGUAUGUGAGUUCCCUGAUGUUUUUCCUGAGGAAUUACCAGGACUUCCCCCAGAUAGGGAAGUAGAGUUUGCAAUCGAGUUGAUACCAGGUACAGCACCAAUAUCGAGAAGGCCGUACCGGAUGCCACCAAACGAACUCGCUGAGUUGAAGAAUCAACUAAAAGAGUUACUGGAUAAAGGGUUCAUCCGGCCAAGCUCGUCGGAAUGGGGUUGUCCCGCAUUGUUUGUGAAAAAGAAGGAUCAGUCAUUGCGCAUGUGCGUGGACUAUCGUCCACUCAAUGCAGUGACAAUCAAGAAUAAGUAUCCUUUGCCAAGGAUUGAUAUCCUGUUUGAUCAGUUGUCCAAGGCAAGAGUGUUUUCUAAGAUAGAUUUGAGGUCUGGGUAUCACCAAAUCAAGAUUCGUCCGCAAGACAUCCCGAAGACUGCUUUUUCCACCAGAUAUGGGUUGUAUGAGUAUCUUGUCAUGUCCUUUGGAUUGACGAAUGCUCCUGCAUACUUUAUGUAUCUGAUGAAUUCAGUCUUUAUGCCAGAAUUGGAUAAGUUUGUUGUGGUGUUUAUUGAUGAUAUUCUGGUUUAUUCAGAAAAUGAGCAAGAUCACGCCGAGCAUCUGAGAAUCGUGCUGACACGAUUACGAGAGCAUCAGUUAUAUGCCAAGUUCAGCAAGUGUGAGUUCUGGUUGAAGAAAGUUCCUUUCCUAGGGCACAUUCUGUCUGAAGAAGGGAUUGUUGUGGAUCCAUCAAAAGUGCAGGAAGUCAUGGACUGGAAGGCACCAACUUCUGUCUCGGAAGUUAGAAGUUUUCUUGGUCUGGCCGGGUAUUAUCGUCGUUUCAUACCUGACUUCUCCAAGAUUGCUAAGCCAAUGACAAGUUUGCUACAAAAGGAUCACAAGUUUGUCUGGACGGAAGGGUGUGAGUUAGCCUUCCGCACCUUGCGAAAGUUGCUAACCACUGCUCCCGUUCUGGCGCAACCUAAUAUAGAAAAGCCUUUUGAUGUGUUUUGUGACGCAUCGAAGAGUGGCCUGGGGUGUGUGUUGAUGCAAGAUGGCAGGGUGAUAGCUUAUGCUUCCCGACAGUUGAGAAAGCACGAAGUCAACUACCCAACGCACGACCUCGAGUUAGCCGCAGUAGUGCACGCUUUGAAGAUUUGGAGACAUUAUCUGCUGGGAAAUAAGUGUCACAUUUAUACCGAUCAUAAGAGUUUGAAGUACAUCUUCACUCAGUCCGAGCUAAAUAUGAGGCAACGACGGCGGUUAGAGUUAAUCAAGGACUAUGAUCUGGAAGUUCACUAUCAUCCAGGCAAGGCUAAUGUAGUAGCAGAUGCGUUGAGUCGUAAACCGCACUAUCAAGUGGUUCAACCGUUGUUUGAAGAUGGGUUCAAUCUUAUGCAUCCUGAGGUCUUAUGUCACAUACAACUCAGUUGUUCACUCGAGAGUCAAGUCAUUGAAGGACAGAAAUCAGACAAGGGUAUUUUCCACAUCAAAGAGAAGAUCAAAGAUGACCCAAAAACUCAAUUUCGAGUUGAUGAAAAAGGGGUACUGUGGUUUCAACAUCGGUUAGUAGUCCCGAAGGAUCGGGAAUUGAAGAAUCGCAUCAUGGAUGAAGCCCAUCUCUCUAAGCUUUCUAUUCAUCCUGGCAGUAGCAAAAUGUAUCAAGAUCUAAGACCCCACUUUUGGUGGACCAAGAUGAAGAAAGAAAUAGCCGCAUAUGUAGCCCGUUGCGACACAUGUUGCAGAGUUAAGGCCAUCCAUAUGAAACCUGCAGGUCUGUUGCAACCGUUAUCAGUUCCAGAGUGGAAAUGGGAAGAGGUCAGUAUGGACUUUAUCACAGGUUUACCAACCAUGAGGAAGGGGAAUGGCUCGAUUUGGGUAAUCAUAGAUCGGUUAACCAAGUCGGCUCAUUUCAUUCCAGUUAAGAACACAUACAGACCUCCCGAGUAUGCCGAUAUAUAUAUGGCUGAGAUUGUCAAGUUGCAUGGUAUUCCCAAGACCAUCAUAUCAGAUAGAGGACCACAGUUCACCGCUCACUUCUGGGAGCGAAUGCAUAAGAAUUUGGGAACCAGUCUGAUAAGGAGCACGGCGUAUCAUCCCCAGACUUCAGGCCAAACGGAGUGGUUAAAUCAAGUGUUAGAAGAUAUGCUGAGGGCCUGUGUGCUAUCGUCCAAAGGAUCAUGGGAGUCAUGGUUACCUCUGGCUGAAUUCUCCUACAAUAACAGUUGUCAAGAGAGCAUCAAGAUGGCACCGUUCGAAGCCUUGUAUUGUCGAAGGUGUAGAACUCCGUUAAAUUGGGUUGAACCUGGUGAGAGAAGAUACUAUGGUAUCGACUUCGUGAAUGAGGCAGAGAAGAAGGUACAAAUCAUACAACAGCAUAUGCGCGCAGCGCAAUCACGACAAAAGAGUUAUGCUGAUAAGAGAAGAAGGCCACUUGAAUUCAAAGUAGGUGACUAUGAGUACCUCAAGGUUACGCCGAUGAAGAAAGUCCAGCGUUUCCGAGUUCGAAGCAAGCUUGCACCCAGAUAUGUGGGACCGUACCAAAUACUGGAGAGAAAAGGCCCCGUGGCCUACAAGAUUCAGUUACCUGAAGAGUUGAGCUUGAUCUUUCCGGUUUUCCAUGUGUCGCAACUGCGGAAAUGUUUGAAAGUACCUGAGCAAAGAAUUGAACCUCGAGGGAUCAAAAUAAAAGCAGAUUUAGAGUAUAAGGAGCAACCAGUGGGAAUUGUGGAUACCAAGGAACGGGUAACCCGAAACAGAAUUGUCAGAACAUAUAAGGUGGUGUGGAGUCAUCAUGACGAUAGGGAUGCCACCUGGGAAACAGAGGAUUACUUGAAAACAGUUUAUCCAAAAUUUCAUAAGAAAUGGUUAGUAACCCAAAAUCUCGGGACGAGAUUUCCCUAAGGGGGGAAGGGCUGUAACACCCUAGGUGUUAAGCAUGCAUUUAGCCCUAUCACCACAUGCAUAAGCAUUCUCAUCAAGCAUAGCAUCAUGAGCAUGUCAUUCAUCCCAAAACAUGAUUUUAUGUGCUUUAUUUCAUGUGUUUUAAUUAUGAUAAAAUAUGAUGCUUGCUUCUAAAAAUGUGAAAUAUUCAAACUAGGUUGAUUUAUGUGUAAGAAGGAUUUAGAGUAUUUUUGUGCAAUUUUUGGAGCUAUGGAAUUUGAGAAAUGGAAUUUAUACAAGAUUUCCAAAUUGAAUUUAUUUAAAAACCUAGAACUAAGUUUUAAUUUGUAAUUCAAAUUCUAUUUAGAAUUUGGUCUUGCUUAUUAAAGCAAAGUUGUAGAGUUUUUGUUUUGGAACAACAUUGUUUUUGGGAGCAAGAGGUAAAAAUGAUUUUAAACUGGUCCAAAUGAAUUUAGAAAUAAUUUGGAGAAAAGAAAUUCAAAAAAAAGAAAGGGGCAGGCGCUGCUGGGCCAACCCCGCUUCCCUUUCGGCCCAGCGAGCGGCCCGGCCUGCCUCCCCUUUCCCCUCUCUCCCGCACGCGCGGCGCCCGCCUCGCUCCACCCGGCGCCGGCCACGUGGCGGCCGUACGCCGGCGUUGGACGCGCCGCGGCCGGCCUCCAACCCCCCCUGGUCGGGACGCCGGCUCGGGCACCCAGGCCAUUUCCUCCGUUCUGUCCCCCGCGCCCUCCUUCUCCUUCCUCCCUCCGCUCGCACCGCGCAGCAGCAGCAGCUCCUCCGUGCGCCAUCGCCGGAGAAAGCCCCGCCGCUCGCCGCCGACCGCACCAGAGCCUCAAGCUCACCGCCGAGAGCACCAGCGCCUUCGCCAUCGUUAGGGUAAGCUUGUGCGCGCGUUCUACCGAGGUGAGAGUCCGUCGAGCGCCGUGAAUCGCUCGCCGGAGUUACCCCGAGCUCGCCGGAGUGCUCCGCCGCGACGGAUCUUGUGUUUCUCUGCCUCAUUUCGUUGGUUCUUGGGUGCGCUAGGUCGGUAGGGUGGUGAGGAAGCUCGGAGAGCCGGUUGCGCACGCUCUACCGCACCGGAGCGGCCUGGCCGCGGCGAGCAGCGCCGCCGUGCCGCCAUGCAUGCUCGUCGGAGGUGUUCCGGUCAUCCUCCGGCCAAUCCAAGGGUACCGUUGGGUGCGCCUCGCUGCGGGGAGCACGUUGGUGCUUACCCCGUGGCCGGAGACCUCACCGCCGGCGAGAUCUGCUCGUCGGAGGUGAGCUCCCUCUCGGUCUCGCUGACCGGUGGGGUCGGGGACCCACUGUCAGUCGCAGGGGGAUCCCGGUGGGUGUAGAUCUGGGUGUGUGUAGCCUUUUUCGUCGGUUUUCUUGAAUAAAAGUUUUCUAGAAAUUGAUUUAAAACUUGUAAAAUUCAUAUCUUGAGUUCUACAGCUCCAAAUUGGAUGAAAUAAAUUUUGGUGUGUUCUAUAUUUCUAGAUCUACAGUUUGAUGUAAUUGCAUGUCAUGUUUGAAUAACUUUUCUGUAUGAAUGUAUUUAAUCUAUGUUUUUGCUAAAUUUGGGAAAUGCAUAGUAAAUAAAAUAUGGUUCAGAAAAAUGUGAAACUUGAUUUGUUGGCUCUGCAUGUAUGUUUACUCACUGGGAAAAUAUUGCUACAUAUUAUUUGGUGUAUAAAUGAAUUUAUGGUAAUUUAAAUACUUGCAUGGCAGUGAUUUAUGAUUUUUAAUAAUUAAUUGGAUCAUGCAAUAAAUCUGGAAAAUUUUGUGGGUGUUUCUUAUGAUAUUAGACAAAUUAUAAAAAAUAUGAAAUCUGUUGUUUGACACUUAUAUCAUAGUAGAGUGAUUAUACUUACCUUAUUAAUUAAUCUUGUGAUUUUUGUGACUCAAAAUAAGUAUCCAAAAAUUUUGAAAAAUUUACAGUAAACUUUAUGCUUAGCUGGUAGUCUCCUGUAAUUUUUGUGGAAUUUAUUGAUGAACAAAACUGCAUGUAAAUUUUAAAGGGCCUAGAAAUGAAUAAAGCAAAUUUUGAAUUGUUGUAUAUAUAUAUAUAUAGGUUGAAUAGAAUAAGUUGAGUUUGGUGUAUCUUUGAAGCAUCAUGAGGGUUGCUGGUUGCAUUUAAAAAAAAUAUAGUUGUGGAAGAGAAUACAAUAGAUGUUUGAUUCAAUGGUUUGUUCUUGGACGAUGUUGACUACCUUGUAAUGAGCAUGACCAAGUACAUUACAUAUGCAUCAUGUCAUGACUCCUUUGGUACUUUCUCAUACAAGCAUCCACUCGGGCAUCUCGCACUCCACUCAUAAGCACACAUGCAUCAUACAGGCUCGCAGGAGAACGAGGUGGGACCCGAGGAACCCGAGGAGAUUCAGGAGCAGGAACCUCCGGAAGCACAGGAACCCGGAGAGGAACUGCAGGAGUGUCCGGAUCACCGACCCAGCACGUUUGAGAAAGGCAAGCCUCAGAGCAUUCUAAGUCUCCCUAUUCUCGCUAACUUAUAUGAAGUACUAUACUUGUUCUACUAUAUUGCAUCUAAGUGAUAGGAAUUGCUUGAUACCGUUGAUGCAUAUGUACUCCUUGUUAUCCCUACUCGUUCACCUACCUUGUCCUAUGUAGAUAGGCACGGAGUCUAUGCUUAGCUUGCUUAGUCCGGUAGAAGUCGGGUGAUUUCCUGUCACCUGCGAGAUAUAGGUGGAUACCUGCUUGAUUAAGCAUUGGUUGCUCGGGGAAAAGAAUAACCAAGUGUGGAAUGAAUUUGGGGACCGGGCAGGGUCUUAUGGUGGGUUAACCAUAGUGCCCCUGCCUGUGUCGAUUAAGGACCGAUCGUUGACGGCCCUCUUGUCAUGUUGAACGCAUGCCCCACAUUUAGCUGGAAGGAUAAGUCGUUCCGACCGCGAAGCCUGAGCACUAUCCGGGCCGGGAAUCGGCCCGAUGUACGCGCUGUAUUGGUGAUGGUUGAGGAGAACGACGAGGGCGCGGCGCACAACCUUGGUAUACCUUGGAUACCUCGGUCGCCGGAACGGUCCUCGGGUACGGGCGGUGCCUGUCGAACCCGCGAAUUGGUCCUGGAUAGUGCAAUACGGUGACCUGUAGCUCGCUUGAUCAGUGAGUGUGGUUUGUGUGGGGAAUAAACUCGCCAGCUGGUUAGAAAUCGAUUCGAAUCGCCAUCGCUCCUGGAUAGUGAGCACUUGACAUGAGCUUCGUCCUCGUAGUAAGGACUAUGGAACACUUGGGUUAUAAUGAAAGGGUUUAUGAAUGCUAUGAUGAAGUACUAUCAUAUCCCUAUACUUGCUUGUAAUAGUGCAGGUGCAAACCUAGAUAAUAGGUAAUGAUACUUUCAACUGGAGCAAAAUAAAAGAAGAAAGAUUUAUGUAGGUUAUGAUAGUAAAAUUUCGCGGUUUUGCAAAAUGGUUGUCAGCUACCCCACUAUAUAGCCUUCAUGAUCCUUGAUGAGUCUUUAUUUUAAGUUUAUGUCGGGUAAGUCUAGCUGAGUACCUUCUCGUACUCAGGGUUCUACUCCCAUGUUGUUUUGCAGAUGGUCAAAUGUACUAUGGUUAUUGCAUCCUCUGUCUGUACCCAGCCAUGGGUGAUGACUAGACCAAGAGCGAUGGUCACUCCGUCUCUUCUUUUGCUUUUGUGGGAAUGACCGAACUAUGGCACUGUAUCAGACUAAGCGUGUGUGUUGUAUUUUCGAACUAUGAAGCUUCCGCUACUUGAAGAACUUGGUUUGUAAUAAUUUUAAGAACUCCGAUGUAUUUUAUGAAUGUUGUAAUCUGGAUGUAUUUGUGAAUGGCGACCGCUAAACUUAUUACGAUCUUGGCUGUUGUGCGAUGUGUGGUUUGAAAUCCUUCGAGAUUUCACGGACUAUCGGGAUUAUAUGGGCUUAAGCGUGACGGUUUGACUACGCAAAUGGUCACCGUUAGGCUUAAUCUCUUAUAAUUUGGUCGGUUCUGUUACAGGGAGAGAGAAGAGGAGAGCGGAGGAGGAGCCGGAUCUGUCGGAUCUUCCUCAGCAUUGUACUUUUGCAGCAACUGGUUCGUUCUUCAUCGUUCUUCAAGUUCUUCAAUUCAUAAUUCCUGAGUUCUUUAAUUACUUUUAUUUACAUUCAAGUUAUUUAUUGGAUUCCCGCUUGCAUCAAGUGCUCUAGUCUUUAUAACGCUAGAGUAGUAAUUAAUAGAUUAGACGUGGUGUUUAGUCUUACAAUUACCUGGAAUUGCACCAAAUCUUACGGAUUGUUGUGGUAGCCCUAGGGUAGUGACAGCCCUAAUGGUCGACGUAUCCCACCUUGUUCGGAUCGGUGUUUGUAGGACCAUAGUCAGAGCUUCCAAGCCCCCUUCUCAUCUCUUUGUGUGGUUAGUGUUCUGAUGUCCCAAAAUAAAUAAUCUUUGAAGUAAUUCUUGAUUCUUAGAUCAACUAGAGAACUCUGAGGAAACUUCCUCUCUUCCCACCAAAAAUAAUUAUAUAGUUAUCCUUGGGCGAUCUUGAAUCUUAAUUAGUACACUCACGUUCCCUGUGGAAAAUCGAUACUCUAGAAUACGGGUGAAAGCUACAUCGGUAUCCGUGCGCUUGCGGAUUUUUCUGUUUGCGUUUAAAAUACCCAACACAUGCCCAAUGAAUAGAAUCUUCAACGAUGUCUCCAAGAAGACAGAUAAAGCAAGUUACACCAUCAUUGCUCCCUAGAGUAAGAAGUAGGGUGGUGUUUUCAUCGAGAAUCCACUCGUCCAUAUAUAUAUAUAUAUAUAGUAGUUACUCCCACUAGAGAGUAUGCACAUGAUUCAAAUUCUAUCCCGUUAGCGGGUUGAGAAAUACAACCCGAUUUUAGUUGCCGUGAGUUUUUUUUGGACUGCAUAUAUAGUUGACCAGAAGCCAGCCGGAUAAGUAGCAUGGAAAGCGGAUCCGAUUGUCAUAUGUGCACGGAAAGCGUAUCUACACAUACUCUAGUAUAGGAGUUAUUACGUAUAUGCAUGUAUUCAAGGGAUACGUUACUUAUAGGUUUCUUAUUCGUUCAGAAUCGGUUAGUUCGUCUUUUAGUAUGGGCCCUUCACCACAGCAUUGAAUAAAGUAUGGAUGUAUACUUUAAAUAAGAAAAAUGAGUAUAUAUUUGUAUACUUGUACGUAGAAGUAUAUCCAAUAAUCUGGGAAUUAUUUUUAUUGUUUAUUUUAUACAGUAUAACUUUUUAGCAGAGUAUUAGUACGUACGCAUUAACAUGAAGCACGUACUAUUUGCGUGCAUAAAGUAUGAGUACAUACUUUUUAUAAAAAUGAGUAUGUGUGCAUACUUUGUAUUUGAAGAGUAUAUCCAUAUACUCAGGGAAAAAUAUUACUGUUAGUAUGAAGUGAUACUUCCGUGAUAGAAGUAUCUGAGGAUACAAUAAUUUGAAAAGAAAAGUAUGCAAACUUUUUUAAAUAGACUAUGCAUACAUACUAUUUAUACAAACUUUUUAGAAUAUAGUAUGUAUAGAUACUUUUGAAAUAGAAUAUGUAUACAUACGCCAAGAUUUCUACAGUAUAACAUAGUUAAAGCACACGGUCUGAGUAUUUAUACAUAUAUUUUGGAAUUUAAUUUGUACAUACUUUUUAGAAAAGUAUUUAUACAUAUUUUUUUGGAAUGGAGUACGAAUACAAUUGCCAAGAUUUAGAUAGUACAAGUGCAUACAUGGCAGGAUCAAGUAUAUGUACAUAUCAUUCAAAAAAGAAGCAUUACUACAUAUACAUACAUGUCCGUAUAGGACUGCUGAAAUGCGUAGAUGGGUAGUAUGAGUAGAAACAUGCAAGGGAGUAUGUCUAUACUAUUAACCUGGAACAUAAUAUUUGAAGUAUACUGCACGGAACAUGUAUCUAGUGAUACUCUAGUCUAAAUGUAUCGAGACUGCAUCAUGCACAAUCAUCCUGCGAAUGCCGACGAUUAAUUCUUGGAGCAGUAACACUUGAAAGCAGUGAGAGAAAUCAAGUGGUUCAAAAUCAGCAAAUCAGUAGUGUUACAAUACACUUACUACUCCCGUUCAUAGAGUAAAUGGCGCACCAUCUCUGAUCCGAACUGAAACUGGUGGCCAUCCAUCGCACGGCAUCGCCACCAAUGAUGAGAGACAGAGAGAGACAGAGCUUAGCCGUCGGCCUGCAGGGAGGGGGCACCACCACCAGAUCGAUUGCCAUCGACGCCUGUCCGCAUCCUCCGAUAAAUGGAGGAGGUGCCACCAACGGACCCUUCAAUAGGGAAUAUUUUUUUAUUUUUAGCCCAUUUUUAAAACAAAUUUCAAAUUUAGACCGUUUAGGAAAAAAAUUUCAAAACUAGGCCGUUUGGCCCCGCCACCAUGCAUGGCGGGGCAAAUACACAUGACCCCGCCAUGCAUGGCAGCGGGGUGCACUAGUGACGUGGCGCAUGGCUGGCAGAGUACGCUGACGUGUACCCCGCCGUGACUGAUGGCGGGUUUGCGCACCCCGCCGUGGAUCAUGGCGGGGCACGCCCAGGACCACCAAAAGCUCUUUCUCUCCCUCUGUCCUACCCUACCCGCGCCCGCAUCUUGUUUAGUUUAAAAAAAUUUGGAAAAUCGGUACUGUAGCACUUUCGUUUGUAUUUGACAAAUAUUGUCCAAUUAUGGACUAACUAGGGUCAAAAGAUUUGUCUCGUCAAUUUCGAUCAAACUGUACAAUUAGUUUUUAUUUUUGUUUUAUAUUUAAUACUUUAUACAUAUGUCUAAAGAUUCGAUGUGACGGAAAAUCUAAAAAAUUUUGCAAAAUUUUUUGGAACUAAACAAGGCUGACAAGACUUGGUGGUGUGGUCACGUGAACAUGCACGACCGACUCGGGAAAAGUGGCCGAACUGACCACUCAGGCCUUGUUUAGUUAUGAAAAAAUUUCGGAUUUUGCUACUGUAGCACUUUCGUUUUUAUUUGACAAAUAUUAUCUAAUUAUGAACUAACUAGUAUCAAAAGAUUCAUCUCGCGAUUUACAGAUAAAUUGUAUAAUUAGUUUUUAUUUUUGUCUAUAUUUAAUGUAUUAUGCAUAUGCCACUAUACUCAAUGUGACGGGAAAUCUAAAAAGUUUUGGGAACUAAACAUUGGGAACUAAACAAUGCCUGAACUAUGGGCGCAGCUUUAUGGACAUGAUGAUGACUACGGCUGCUGCUAGAGCUAGGCUUUGUCCAAAGCGACAUGAUGACCUUAAAACUCAAAAACUUUUCAAGAUUUUUUAUAACAUUAAAUCUUGCAGCACAUAUAUGGAAUAUUAAAUAUAGAUAAAAACAAAAACUAAUUACACAGUUUGCCAGUAAAUUGCGAGAUGAAUCUUUUGAGUCUAGUUACUCUAUGAUUGGACAAUGUUUGUCAAAUAAAAACGAAAAUGUUACAGUACCAAAACCAAAAAAAUUUCGCAACUUAAACAAGACCCUAGACUAGACUCCAUGAUGUGCUCAAUUCGUACGAGAGGACAAACAUGUCCUGUCAGCCAUGUUUAAUUUCCAAAAAAAUUUGCAAAAUUUUUCAGAUUCCCCGUCACAUCGAAUCUUAGACGUAUGUAUGAAGUAUUAAAUAUAGAUAAAAAUAAAAACUAAUUAUACAGUUUAGUCGAAAUUAACGAGACGAAUCUUUUGACCCUAGUUAGUCCAUAAUUGGAUAAUAUUUUUCAAAUACAAACGAAAGUACUACAGUAUCGACUUUUCCAAAAUUUUUUGGAACUAAACAAGUCCAGCUCUCUGCCUCGUGUGCAUUGCAUUGCUUGGUACGUACCCCGCCAUGAUCCAUGGCGGGGUAGCCCUAACCCGCCAGCGAUCAUGACGGGGUCCAGGUCAGCCACCUCGGCCAUGCAGCGCCACGUGGCAGGGUCUACCCCGCCACCAUGCAUGGCGGGGUGCAGUGUUUUUGCCCCGCCAUGCAUGGUGGCGGGGCCAAACGGCCUAGAUUUGAAAAUUUUUUAAGAAGCGGUCUAAAUUUGAAAUUUGUUUUAAAAAUGGACUAAAAAUAAAAAAAAAUUCUCAAUAGGCCACUGCGGGUGAAGUGGGAGGGUGGAGAUGAGAGCGCCGCCAUCAGUGAAGUCGGAGUCGGGAGGAAUCACCGUCUCUAGAUGCGGCUGGCCUUUCGACCGGAUUCCGCUGCUGGUGUGCCGCAAGGCCGCCUCCACCGGUGUGGCAUGGGGCCGCUGCCACCGAUAGUGUGGGCCCCGAUGCCGCCGAUGGAUUGAGGGUGAGCACGAUGAGCACCAUGGGGAAGCCGCCGCCGCCGCCGCCGGCAGCACCUGUGCUUGCGGCCAAAAGAGGGUCGAAUUUUCUUUUUUAAAGAAUCACAUGGUCAAAUUUUCUUAAGAUAUAUACAGUCCAUUAACAGGCCGGGAAGCUUUUCUCAACCCGUUAACCAGUCUACCACUACGGUCAAACAUGAGGAGAGGUUUGACGGGCGUAUGGAUGCGUGAUUAGAUGUAGGGAGUAACUACUCCUAGGGAGUAGAAAAAAUUUACCCUAUAUAUAUAUAUAUAGGCACAGGACAUGGCCACCCGAAGCGGCCCGAGCACAGGCCGCAAGUAGGUGAGGGCGCAAGCACUGGCCAUGGAGGACCCAAGCCGCCAAGGACAAUAGCACGAACACGGCCUCAAUGCUGUCGUGCAAGAGCAUAAGCAUUCAUCAGGAACUCGCCCCCAGAGCACAUGAAUGACGAUCCCUAGUAGCACCACCAGGGCCCAGUAGGAUUCAUACGACUCCAACAAGGAGGAGGUAGCACGCUAGCAACCUCAGGAAGCACCCCUGCGUGGAGGAGGCCACCUAGGAGCCAUGCCCAACCCAGUGCCUCGCGGGGAUCCACGAGGCCUGCCACGUAGGACGCCGCCGUGCUGACCAACGCUACACCUGUAGUAAAUGAAAGGCUACCACUGUUGUACCACACUCUAGAUUUGGGGAGAAAGGUGGGAGAUCUGGGCCUAGAUCCCCCGAAAGUCACUAGAUACCCACUCAACCAAAGAUGUAGGGAAGAGGAGUGGUGGUAGAAGAAGUGGAAGGUAGAAAGGAGAGGCACUAUGGAUGACACCUAGUUGAGCACUACCACUUGCUUGAUAGUGGCACUGGAGGUUGGAGGGGUGGCCGGAUAUAUAGGAGAGUUUGUGGCAGCACUGGAAUCUUUUGUGUGCGUCUCUUACGUCACAUGUCGAGGUCAUGGUUGUUCCCAAAAUGUAUGCUGAGAAAGAAAUACAUAAUGCUACAAACAAUUGAAGGUUGUUGUAGACCAUAUUUAUACUUUAAACGAUCUCAAAAUGAUUAACAUGGAUCUUCUCGACCUUGCUCCACCAACCGCUUCAUCACUUUUCGAACCAAACACCUAGAACUGAAACAACUUCACCCAAAAAAACUCCUUAAUUCACGUUGACCAGGGCCAAAGAUGGAUGGUGAAGCUGAAAAAAAACAACUUCGUUCACCCACCGGCUUCGUUGUGGUCCCGUGGAUCUAGCACACGACUGUGGAUUAGUUUAUUGAGUUACAUGCAUCGACCAAUUCAACCUAAAAGCUUUAUUGGUAAGAUGGGCAAUUCACUUUAUAUUCUAAUGUUGGCAUUUCUUAGCAUCACUUAAAAGCUGGGUUGUUAUCGCCAGCAUGAUGCUAAAAAUACUCUAUUGGUACUAAUGCAAAUUCCUUCUUGAUAUCCACAAGCGCACAAAUAUAAUACCAUUGUAGCACUUCACUAGAAGUAAACCAGAUACCGUUAUUUAUAUUUUUACCCAUGGAAAAGGAUGGCUAAGGAAAUGAUCAUCACUUACAUGUGACAAUGGAGAGGCAAACCAUGUCUUAUCUAUCUUUCUCAUAAGGGUAUAUAGUAACUACUACUGGGAGUAAAAAGGAAUUAUAUAUAUAUAUAUAUACGUGUUUUUUCUACACGCGCGUGUAGUUACUCUCAUGUCUAUAUCUCUAGAUUUAAGGUGUAUAUGAUCGAACGAAAUGUAUAUAGAGGAAAUAUAUGAUCAUACUAGAACAUAUAGGGUGAUAUGUAUGUUAAGUAUCCAUGCAUACAUAGAGUAUAUGGUUAUACUUAUUGUAUAUAAUAUAGCAUUUUAGUAAUAUAUUAAAAAUAUGAAUUCCUUUGAAAAAUUUUCGCGUGAUAAGAUCUAGAGUAUCUUAAGUAUGAGUAUAUAAACAUACUUAAACUGAUAAACAAGUAUGAACACAUACACAAUGUGGUUUAUUAAAGAUGAGAGUAACUACAUGACAUGUAGAAUGGAAUUUUCCUAUAUAUAUAUAUAUAAUGAAUAAAUGAUAAACCACAUGUAAUAAUAGAUAAACAUCUCGUCAAAGUACUCUAGUCUAUAGCACUAGCAUCAAUUAGGUAGAACUAAAGGAUAAAUCCAAUGUUAUUCUAACUGUAAGUCAAAGCAUACUAUGAUUAGUGCAAUUACACUUGGAAACAUGGCAAGACAGAUUUAUAUGUACGCAUAGGGACAUUGCUAAUUAAGAAAGAUCAAGAAUAGAGCAAUCCUUUCUUCGUAAUCAGGUCCUACAGGAUCUACAUUAGUGUCACAUCUGUGAUCUACCACAAGGCCUAGAAUAAACACAGACGAACCUAGUAUAGACACCACGCCUACACAAUGUCGACCACUCACCCAUGAGUUCAAUGAGCGAGCGCUAUAUGAUCGUAUGUUUGAAUAUAAAACUAAUCCAACUAUACCAAGCAUAUAAUCAAAGUACACUAAGAACAUUAUAAUUAAUCACAUAAGCAAAUAGAGUAAAGUCGAUCAUAUCCAAUAGAAUAGAAUAGAAUAGAAUAAAGUCAUAUUCAUUGUAGCUAGAUGAAUAAUAUGAGUAAUACAGAAAGAACUCAAAAUAGAAGACGUCACAAGGAUUUACUGAGCAAACUCUCUUGGUAGAUCUAGAAACCAAGCUGAUGCUUGCCUCCUCUAAUUCUAAACCUAUGUAGCUAGGCUUCUAAACUAUAUGGAUCUCUAGAUGAGAUUAGAUCUUUCUAGCUUUGGUGGCUUGAUCAAAUGACUUGAUGACUUUAGAUGUUGUGAAAUCCUUGAGCCAGGGCCUGAUUAUAUAUCCCCAUAGAAUGAACCGUGUCCUUUGGAUCAAACCGCCUUUUGCUAAUGGCUGAGAUGAUAGAUCAAAGACGGUUUAGCACCGACAUAGAAGCUGAGGCCGACAGGUGGACCCACACCAGGGCGGGCGCCUUGGGGUGAGGGCGGCCACCUUGCCCCUAUGGCAGGUGGGCCCCACCUAUGGUCUAGUGCCUUCUAGUUAUAUGUAGCCUCUUUAUCUCUAUGUAAACCUGACAUGUUGGUCUUCCUUGGCUCUUUUCAUAUAGAACCCUACAAAAAUAGAUAUUUACCAAAACUCAUGGAAUUCUAUCAAUGUACACCUUGUAUCUAUGUGGUGAUUGCUUUUAAGUCCUUUCUCAUGUUUCGUUGAUGGUUUAAAAUUAGAGUUAUCUACUAUCAACAUCCAACAUGUUUUGCCCCCAAAAACAACAUAGGGAGACAUUAUUGGGGCAGCACUGCUUGGGUAGUAAGCAACCCUGAGGUCUGGGGACAAUGGCACUUGGGCAUUGAAGGUGACACUAGGGGCAGUGGACAUAGGCAGAGGAGAGGUGUAAGGGGGUGGCAAUGGAGAUGAGCGGGUUUGGCGGUGGUGGAGGAGGUGAUGCGUGAGGACAGGAAGGGGCGGGAUGUGUUGCUAGAUGUGUGCUAGUAGCAUUCGUAGAGGGUGAAAAUGUUAUAUUGGUUUCUUUAGGAUUUUCUGCAUGGAGUGCUGUGCAUGACCCCCUUUUUUUGCCAUGACUGCAAUCUACAGGAAAUUUUCUAUAGGGCAUGAAGUAAUAUUCUUUUUGUGCCAUAGGUCAAGGAUGGGUCAUGUCUGUUCUUUCGCCAUAAGAGCAAGUAUUAUAGUGGGCUGUAAGCUGGCUAAAUACUGAGGUGGAGGACAGAAGGGAGGAGAGAGAGAGGAGAAGCAGGCUGUAAGCUUACAGCCAGCUUAGGCACAGGAACCAAAAACCUUGUGAGAGAGAUAAGUGGGCCAUGUAUUAAUAGUGAAUAGCUAACUAUUGUAUGGGUAGGCUGGGAGAAGACUGCAAGAAACCUUACAGGCAGCAGUGGGCUGUAUUAUUAAACUUGCUCUAAGAUAGCAUUGCUAUCGAUUUUUGGCGGUCGUCAAGAGUUGUCGACCUACACAUAAGUUUUUGGCAAUCUACGCUGCAUGAGUCUAGAUUUUUUUUGUUCCUUUUUUAAAUCUCCUUGAGAUGGAGAUGCUCGAAGAACGUGUCAUUAAUAAAUGUCACUUACACGCAGAUGGGCGCAGCCAAUAUAUAGCAGAUGUUUCGUUCAAGUCCAGGUGCAGAUCAUCACUCGUAGGUACGUGCCUCUGACGAAACAAACGACCGACGAUCGACAUCCUUUCUUAGACAAGGGGAUUAUACUAGUUGAUUAUACUAGCAAGUAUUAUAUACAUAUAUGAUCAUAUAUAACGCCCAUCUGUGGCAGCGGCGUACUUGCGUCUCUCUUGUGGAUUGCACCUUAAGCCAUGCAUAUGCUGGGGCUGCACAUAGCCAUAGAUAUGUGCACGCUAACUAGUGGAUUACCAGGCUUGCUUCGUUCGACGCACUUACCAAUUCCCAAGCUGACCUCGCGCCGCCUUGCAAUCAACCGUAAUCACGAAGGCCUCAACCGUCAUUACGAAGGCUAGUGGUGGCUGUUGUGUGUGUAUAUAUACACGACCAAUCAUCGAUUCAUCACAACAAAAUCCAUCCAUACCCAUACUUACAUAUAUAUACACACACACACCAACAAUUUAUUCAGGCAACACGAUCUCCACUUUCUGAGCUACAUAUAUACAGUAGUACUCCAGAUUCUUCUCGAUCGUACGGUUCAUAGAGGUGGUAUCUAUUAUGGCUCAAGCUCGAGUCUUCACGCUCUUGGUGCUCGCAGCUGCCGGUUGGGUGUCGGCCAUGGCAGCUAAUGCUCCGGCACCAACCGGGUGGCUGAAGGCACAUGCCACCUUCUACGGAGGCGCUGAUGCCUCCGACACCAUGGGUAAGCUAGCUAGCCGCUCAAGAACCUGCAUUGUAUAGCUUUCCUAUGCCACGAAAAUGAUGCACGCACUGUGCCGACCGAUAUCACACAUAUGUCGUCGUCUAAUCUGUUCUAAGAAUAUAUAUGUGUGUGUAUGCAUGGUGGCAGGCGGCGCGUGCGGGUACGGCAACCUCUUCUCACAGGGCUACGGCACGCGGACGGCGGCGCUGAGCACGGUGCUCUUCAACGACGGCGCCUCAUGCGGGCAGUGCUACAAGAUCGCGUGUGACCGCAAGAGAGCCGACCCCAUGUUCUGUAAACCUGGUGUCACGGUGACCAUCACGGCCACCAACUUCUGCCCGCCUAACAUGGCGCUGCCUGAGGGCGGCUGGUGCAAUCAGCAGCGCCCGCACUUUGACAUGGCGCAGCCGGCGUUUGAGAAAAUCGGCGUCUACAGCGGCGGCAUCAUCCCCGUCAUGUACAAGAGGUCUCUUUAAUUUAAUUUCCAACAUGUUCCUAGUCCGCCUCGACCUAUCAUCAUAAAAAAAAAGACAAACAAAUUGGGAUGCAAUAUCUUACGAUGACUUUCUUGCUUGUAGAGUUCCUUGCGUGAAGCGAGGUGGAGUCAGGUUCACAAUCAAUGGGCAUGACUACUUCAAUCUUGUGCUUGUGACCAAUGUUGCGGCUGCCGGCUCCAUCAAGUCCAUGGAUGUCAAGAGCUCGAAUUCGACCGAAUGGACCCCAAUGGCACGAAACUGGGGCGCAAACUGGCACUCUCUGGCCUAUCUCACAGGGCAACUGCUCUCGUUCAGAGUCACCGACACGGAUGGACAAACUAUUGAAUUCACAAACGUGGUGCCACAGGGAUGGAAGUUUGGCCAAACAUUUGCAUCCAAGUUGCAGUUCAAGUGACGAUGAGAGCUCCAUCAUCCAGGAUUAUUUCCGGUGACUCGUCACUAGUCACAGGAGUAUGAUUCAAAAAAGUUGCUGGUCAAAAUGCAUGAAUAAUGGAGUUGCUUGUGCUAGCUGUACGCUAUAUAUGUGCAUGACUUGUAUAUACCGCCUAUUCAUCAGAGCGACGGCUAUAUAUGACUUGUACCUCUCACUCUUUUUAUUUAUAUUGUAAUAAUAAUAGUCAUGUCUAAAUUCAAUUUAUAUGGUGUAUAUAAAUAUGUUCUUAAUUUUAUAUCUUCAACAAGUCUGCUGCAAUGACGGGAUUUUGUUGGCAUAUACUUGGGGCAUGUUUGUUUCAUCUUAAUUAUAAUCCCAGUUUUCACCGCACGAGACACAUCCACAUCAAAAAUGAACUAAGGACUCGCGUUUCCCAUGCCGCGUGCAGGAGGUACUGAUGCUGCAUUGCACGGCCUCCCCGCCACGGUGGCAAACACGCCGCCAUGGUGGCAAACACGCCCUUAUAUAAGCAACUACUCCCUCCAUUCCUAAUUAUAAGUCAUUCCAAAAAUAUUGGAGAGUCAAAGCAUCUUAAGUUUGACCAAAAUUAUAGAAAAAUUUACAAAGUUUUGUGACAUCAAAUAGAUAUACUAUGAAAAUAUAAUUAAUGAAGAACCUAAUAAUACUUAGUUGAUAUCAUAAAUAUUAUUAUUCUACCAUAUAAAUUUGGUCAAACUUGAAAUACUUUGACUCUCCAAGAUUCUUGGAGAGUCUUACAAUUUGGGAUGGAGGAAUAACUGUUUAUGUAAGCCUCAAGGGAUCCUGCAUACGGCAUUCUAAAAAAUUAUGCUAAGGGAUAAUGGAUCAUGUUACGAACAAGAACAAUUGAAGGUCGCCGUAGACUGUAGUGACAUUAAAUUACACCUUAAACGGUCACAUAAAGCUGUCAAUGCAUGAGAUAUCGAUGUUAAAUGCUCAAUUUAUUAUUAGGUCCUAUAUUUUCUGAGUUCUAACAGAUAGCCAAUAUCAAACAAUUGCUGCCACAAAUUUCAUGCAAAUCACAGAUACCAAACAAUUGAUGUUCACCCGGCCACUUCUGAACAGUCCUGCUGCAUGCAACUGACUCCGUUUGUACCAUUAUAAGUUGUAGUAAAAUUGAAGGAAUGGAAACUGCUGGAGGCCUUUUAGACCAUCACGUACUAGUACAACCUUUUUGGGAUUCAGAUCAAGUUUGAACCAGACUGCAAAAGGAGGCAAAAAAAAAAGGCAAAAAAAAAAGAGAGAGGAUCGCUCCCACUCAAACUGGCCUCACAAGACUCUUGGGACACGCAUGAACCAAUGGGUUAAAAAAUUCUUCCACGGCAAAACUUGACAAUUCUUGACAUAGGUCAACUCCACUUCAACUGCUAAGUUACAUUUCUGAAGAAGCUGAGACUGCCAUACAAGCAAUCGCGUUCAGGUGACAUGUGUCCACAAACAGAUUUUGCUUUCCACCCAGGAGAACUGUACAAUCUGUCAGAACCUACUCCUGUACUUACACAAACAAGGACUCUGGAACACGAAAUUACAAAAUGUAAAGUCAUCUCAGCUUCGAGUGGAUCUGAUCCUGUUCAACUGGUUUGGCUCAGUUUCCAGAAUCGAUAAUACUUGAGGCAUCGUCGUGCCCACAGAGACAACAAUUUCUGCAAUAGGAUGAUGUUUAAUAUCAAAGCAAUUCAAAGCAUACUUAUCUGAAUAUAUAAAUAAGACGGAAAAAAAAGGAAAAGAACUGUAAUGUGCAUACCAAUGCCUUCGCGAACAGACAUGUUCGGCCUAAUCACGUCACUUGAGCUGACCAGAAAUAUGUCCCCAAUAUAGAGAUGGUUGGUUGGAACAUAAACACAGUACAUCUUUUCUUCACUAGAAUAACCCUGAGUUCAAAAAGUGUAAUACAUCAGCAAUAGUUUUUACACGAACUUACAGUCCAGAUGAAUGCAGUUAAUUAUGCAAACUUUUAUCUCAGCUGUGCAUAAAAAAGGGAAUAUCCAUAUACAAUAUUACAUCCACAUUAAACUAGGUAACACAGUUUCAGGAACCAAACGCAUGAAUUGAAUCUACAUGUUUGGCUCAGAGAUUCUUUUUACUUAGGACACUGAAUGUUUUCAACUUACAAAGCAUAUGACAAUAGCACAAACUCCUGUUAUCUCUAGAUAUGUUCCUAGGAAAAAUCUGUUGUUCCACAUUUGGACAACACAUUAAGUACAAUUAACAAAUCAAGAUGAAUUUUCAGAUAGCCUGUAUCCAAUAGCUCACACCAACACCCAAAGUUCCCAAACAAAUAUUAAUUUCUGACUUUCUCAGUCUUUGUUAAUUAUAAUAGUGACUGGUUCAGCAGAUUCAUAAAUUGCUUAACUUGUUUAACAGGCAUAACCUAAAAUGUGGGGGAAAAAACCUGCAGGGAGCAGGAACUUCUAUAUGUAUGAAAAUAAUCAUGAUAUUAUGAUAAUGGUUAAUUGACCAGAUCAAAUAGUAAAAGCAUACAAACCUGAAGUAGAACUUCCGAAGUGAUAAAUCCAAAUGCAUAUUCGCCAAUUCUUGGGUGCCUAAUGAUGACCACUUCCUUGAAUGCAUGCUUGUUUUGAUCUGCAUGAAACUGUGAUUUGCUUAGAAACAUUUGAAUUAUGAUUUUUAGAAUCAUAAAAUGGCAAUGUAUCUAACCAGGUGAAAUGGCAGCACUGAUUUGCUUAGAUGCAUCAUAAAUAUGGCGAACAAAUGGCAUUCGUUUUAUGAACCACUCUCCGAGACCAAGGAUAGAUGCCCCCAGCCAAGAUGACAUGAAUACACCAACCACGAAAAUGAAAGAUAUCGAUGUUACAAAACCAAGCCCUGCAAGAAGGUAAAAAAAAAGGCAUUAAAUUUAAAAAUUUAGUGAAAAAACAAAGAUGAUUCUAAAGAUUUCCAUAUAAAGCUACUCAACGUAGAAAGAACAUCAAAGAAGAGAGGAUUCCAUGAACAUGCUAAAAGAGAGUUAGUUUGCUUAGUAUACAAUGGAACUGGGCUUUGAAUUUGGGAAAACAGGGCACUGAUAGUAAACCAAGAGGAUGGAGUUUAGGAACCAAGUUGAAGGAAAAGCUUGAACCCAUCACUAGAUUAAAAACAGUCAUUCCAAUGUCUCGCAUGCACUUGCACAGUGCAGAAAACUAUGGGCAGCAGGACAAGGUAGGCUCAUGGUCAUUGAGAGAUAUAAGCAUUAACGAUUUCAUGAACUGACAUAGCAAAACAAACAGCUAAAUAGACCAUGCGGUGUUUCCAAAGUCUAUUUGUUAUUGCAUUUUACAGAUACAUGGAAAUGCACUUAGAUGGCUAGGUCUCAAGGUUGCCCAACAUGUCAAUGAUAAUGCAGCAGUUUGGAUCCUCUGGUAAAGCUUGCCUCGUCUUGCCCAGCGAGGAUUUGCAGCUAGAUAUGUGUUUGGACUGCUGGCAAGCACACCUUGUAGGCUGCAGAGGCAAGCUUGCUGCUGUGAGGGAGCCAAUUCUGCUCUCCUAUCUUGGCAAGGCAAAGCUCGCCUGGCAAUCAAACACCCCAAUAGGUGCACACAUCACUCUUACACUAUGAAUUAAGAUUCUGCAGCAAGUCUCAUGACCAUUAUAAAAUAGACAAAGGUAAUAGUAAUCUAGACUGAAGCAAUACUUUGCUAAUAGUGAGCUACAUAAAUAAACAUUAUUAGUUUUCAAUAAAAAUUGCAUCUCACCAUAUGUACAAGUCAGAGUUCUGGUAAGUAUUCUAGAAAGUAAAUUGCAGCAACAAUCACUCUGCAUCUCAUACAUACCAAAUAUUUUGAUUCCCAAGUGAGCAUAUAUUGGGGAGAAAAAGCCAUCCACAAAACGAAAGAACCACCAUGUCACAUAGAAUGUAACUGCAAUUGGGAAGAGGAUGACACUGCAAGAGAAUUAGGGAAACCACAUCAGUUGAGUGAUCAAGAAAUAACCUGAAAAGAAUGUACCUUGCACUAAUCUCUACUUAAGCACACAACAGUACAAUAGCUUGUGAAUAUGCCAAACUAUAGUGAAGAUAAUAUGAUCAGAACAUUGGUCCAUCUCAAAUUUCAUUGUAUGCUGAUCCUUCCCUGACACAAAUAGAGAAAUCAUGCAAACAUGGCUGACCCGAUCUAGAUAAACAGAAGCCUUGCCCAAACAAACCAAAAAAAAAAACUCAGUAUAGUGUACUAUUCUAGCCCAUGGGUUUAAUGCUAAAUCAAUUUUAUAGUACCACUUUUUAACAUUACAAAUAGUACAUAUUUUGCUUAAAUCAUGUUGACAAAGCAUAUGUCAGGCCAAAACAAAUAAAGUAGACAGAAAACUCAAAAAAAUGCUUCUUUCCUAAAUAUUCAUUUGCAUAGCCAACUUAUGAUGAAAUGCAUUCAUGUUAAGUUUAUGCUAUGACAUCAUUAAUAACAAGAUAGAUAAUGAUGAAACCGAAAAAGAAAAGUAGAAAGUGGAAUUGAAACGUUAUUGUGAGAGAUAUAGAGAAGAAAAGAAGAUACAGUGAGACAAUUCUAAAUUCAUCUUUUCAAGAAACUUAUCCAUAACUUUCUAGAUCUAAAUGCACAAAAUUAUAGUUCAUUCCGUGUUUCACUAAUAUCUUCUGGUGCUACACUCUGCAUCUUAUUCAAUUUAUGCAUGUCAUUUAUGGCCAGCAUCAACAUACUGGUACUAAGAACCCCUCUAGUGGUACUAACUCUCAUUUCUACCAUUUUCCAACAUCAAACACUUCGAAAGCACUCAAGGAUAAUAUAAUAUUCUGUCACCCUCCCAAAUGGAGUUCCCCAUAGCGGGCCUAGCAGGCCGGCAGGGGGCCAAGACCCAGCAGCUGCCGACGCUGGGGGCACCCCACGCACACCAGAAGGGGACACGGCAAGGGGGGUCCGUCCACCACUGCCACUGUGUUAUCCCGGAUUUUAGAAGAAUUAGGAAAAUAAGGAGAUUUAAGGGGGAAAUAGGAAUGAUAGGUAGAGAUUUGUUUAGGAAAAAGAAUUGAGAUUACUUAGGAAAGAACAGAGAUUUGCUUUAGGAAAAAAGAGCUCAAAUCUAUAAGGACUCCUUCAUAAUUUCCUUGGUGUGCAAGUCCAAUAAGCCAUACUUUUUCUGCCGUACUUUUUCAGGGCUCCGUUCGCUUGUCUUAUAAGCCGUACUUAUAGGGGCAUUGUAAAUAUUUCAAUCAAGCAAAGGAAUAAGCAUUGCUCUUUAAACAAAUCUCUCCCUCUCUCUCUCUAGCUCUCAAGCCGCUGCCGCCCCCUCCCUCUGCCCUAGCCGCCGCCACCACCAACGGCACCAGCAGCAGCUGGCACGGCCUCACACCGCCACUGAUCAGCCAUGCCGCCUCUCUCCCUGCCCUAGCCGCCCCUAACCGGCCACCACCAAGAAAGACCGUGGCAUAUUCACGUUGCUCCAUUUGUACCCAGAAGAAGGAUAACUGACAAUAUUAUUCAGCAAAAUUAUCAGAAAACAUAGCUAAAAGUUCUGCUAGGACAGUACACAUAAUAUGAGGGCAACAGCGAAGGUAAACAACUACUGAUAAUGUUUUCAUGUCUGGUGGCACAGGGGCGAAGCCCAGUAGUGGCCCGUGGAUGCGGAUGCACCCCCCAAAAAUCAGAAACUAGUUAUUACUAUCAGAUUUCGGCCCUGUAUGCACCCCCCUUGGGCCAAUAUGCUGCACCCCCCCCCCCCCCCCCCUAGCCCAGCUCAGAGCAGCCAGUCCAGUUAACUUGAGCCCAUCGCUGGAAGAUGAAACGCGCAGCGCCGGAGUGCGUCGACUCCGCUGCUUUCCCUCGAGGCUCGCAUCCGUCGCGACGUUCUUUCUCCCCCUCCGUGUGUCUCCAUGGCCAUUGGCCGUCGCUGAGCCUGAGCCUAAGCUUUGGAGCAUGCCUGCUGUCUAUGUCUAUGCGCCCCUGCUCUGCAAUCCAGGCAUCCGCCGGCUGUCGACAGUUCCGUCUUGCCAGUUCUGAGUGGUGAGCCUUAGUUUGCAUUUUGCAACGUUUCUGCCUACUGAAGUUCACAAAGCUCAAAGUUGUUGUCUCCUGUCUGGCCGGUAUACAGUCUCAGUGUCCAGGCAUCAAGGAUUCAAUCUUUCAAGGUACGAAGUAGUAUUUUAGGUCUGUAGCUGUAGUCUUGUACUCAUGUAGAUAUUUCAUAUUUGCCUCUAUUUCUUUCUCAAGUUAUUUACUGGACGGUGUACUGAUGACAGAUUAAUCAAUGGAAAGAUUUUUCAAAAGAAAAGCGCCAGAACCAGAUAGUGCCAACAAUGCUCGCAAUUUGUGUUUGGAUGAUAUCAACUGGGAAGAGGAGAUUAAAUAUGAUCCUGGGUUGCGGAAACAAAUUGAUGACUACCAUCCUAAUCAAAGAGAAAUGGUGAGAAGGAAGUACUUGGAAAAAGGGCCUUGUCAGCCUCGCACAUUUAGUUUUCCAGUGACAAAUAUUGGAGGAGGGCCAAGAAGGUUUAUUCCAGAAUGGUUCGAUGAGUUUGGAAGUUGGCUUGUGAAGCUUUUGUGAAAAAUGGUUGGAAUGGUUUUCAUAGAAAACAAAGGCUCAAAGAUCAUGUGGGUGAUGUCGGUGGCUCACACUAUCUAGCAAUGAAGAAGUGUGAUGAUUUGCUGCAAACAAGACAACACAUUAAUGUGGCUUUCCGUGGUGUGAAUGAAAGUGCUAAGAGGGACUAUAUUACUCGAUUGAAUGGGUCUAUUGAUGUUGCUAGAAUGUUAGCAAAGCAAGGCUUGCCUUUUCGAGGCCACGAUGAGUCGAAGGAUUCUUUAAAUAGAGGAAAUUUCAGGGAAUUUCGUGAUUUUGCAGCGGAGCAAAAUCCAAUCUUAAGAAAGGCAACAAGUAAAGGAAAAUCAGAAAAUAGUCUUUUGGUUUCCCUUGAAAUACAAAGGGACAUUGUGCAUUGUUUUGCAAAGGAGGUGCUACAGGCUAUUCUAGAAGAAAUUGGGAAUGAUGUUUUUUGCUUGCUAGUUGAUGAGUCAAGAGAUGUUUCUUGGAAAGAACAAAUGGCUGUGGUCUUGAGAUAUGUAGAUAAAUAUGGAAUUGUGAAAGAGAGAUUUGUUGGACUUGUUCAUGUGAGUGAAACAACUUCAGCCCAUCUCAAGUCUUCUAUUGAUGCACUAUUUGCUGAACUUAACUUAAGUUUAAAGCAAGUUAGAGGCCAAGGAUAUGAUGGUGCUAGCAAUAUGAGAGGUGAGUUCAAUGGCUUGCAAUCAUUGAUCAUGAGAGAAAAUAGUUCAGCUUAUUAUGUUCAUUGUUUUGCUCACCAACUCCAAUUAGUCCUUGUGGCUAUUGUGAGAAAGCAUAGAGGGGUUAGUGAUUUUUUUACCAAGGUUUCCAUGUUACUAAAUGUUGUUGGUGGAUCAUCUAAGAGAAGGGAAAUGAUUAGAGAUAUUAACCUUACAGAAAUGAGUAAGGCACUUGGGUGUGGGCAACUUCAAACUGGGACAGGGUUAAAUCAAGAGCAAAGUAUUCAAAGACCUGGAGAUACUCGUUGGAGUUCUCAUUAUAAAUCUCUCAAGAGUAUAGUUGACAUGUUUUCUACAAUAGUCAAGGUGCUAGAAAUUGUGGAAAAUGAUAAAAAGGACUAGAAAAUUAGAGAUCAAGCAUCAAAUCUUCUAGAGUAUUUCCAGUCUUUUGACUCUAUCUUCUAUUUGCAUCUCAUGUUGACUAUAUUAGGAAUCACAAAUACCUUGUCCUUAGCACUGCAGCGCAAGGAUCAGGACAUAGUGAAUGCUAUUAAUUGUGUGAGAGCCACUAGAUGCCAAUUGGAUGAGCUUAGAAGAGAAAAGUGGGGAAAACUUUUGGAUGACGUGUAUGAAUUUUGUGAGAGGAAUGAUAUUUCCAUAUUGAAAAUGGAAGAUGAAUAUAUUGAUCCAAAGAAGAGGAGGCAAAAAUCUGGAAUUACAAACCAGCAUUACUAUCAAGUAGAUUGUUUCAAUGAUAUUAUUGAUUGGCUACUUCAAGAGCUUGACAGCCGCUUCAAUGAGACAAGCUCUCAAUUGCUUGUAUGCUCGGCCUCUUUUAGCCCAAGAGACUCAUUUUGUGAUUUUAAUGUGGACAAGUUGUUGACCCUAGCGAAGCUUUAUCCACAUGAUUUUGAUUCCGGAAAUCUGAGGGACCUUAGCAAUGAACUUGGCCUCUACAUAUUUGAUGUGAGAGAUGAUGACAGGUUCUCCAGCAUACAAACUAUUGCCGAGCUUUCUCAGAAAAUGGUGGAGACUAGAAAACAUGAACGUUACCCACUGGUUUAUCGACUUUUGAAGCUUGUACUAGUACCGCCAGUUGCUACUGCUACAGUUGAGAGGAUUUUCUCUCACAUGAAGAUUGUGAAAACAAAUUUACGCAAUCGCAUUGGUGAUCAAUUUAUGAGCGAUUGUCUUAUUUGCCAUGUGGAGAAAGAAGAAUGAUGAAAAUCACGAAUGAGUCCGUGAUUCGUCGCUUCAUGAAAAUGCAGGAACGCAGAUUUGAUGACAAUUAAAGGUAAUAGUUUCAUGAUAAUAUAUUUUGUCUAUCUUAAUAGUUUUGACCAUAUGCGACUAGUACUUACAUUGUUGUUUUUUUUCAUUACUUCUUUAUAGUCGCACCCCCCUUUAUUGCGCUCUAGCUUCGCCACUGUGGUGGCAUAUAUAGAAAUCAAAAAAUUACUUUAAACCAGUGUCCACAUAUAAAACAAUUGUGAAACCCAUGGCAGGACCAAUAAAAGUUUUACUAGACUGUAAGCUUUUGCUUAAAGUUGACAAAGUAAAAGAUGGGAAUUUUGAGCUUUGGUAUUUUGGUGCAAAAGCUUAUAGCUUAGCAAAAUGACCAAUUGCAUUGCAAUCUCAGGUGCAGACAUGUAGUCUAUACUCAGUUUAUAGUCCACAUGAUUUUCAAUCGCAAUUAACUGACAGUACAAAACCGCAUUGACAUUAUACAAUGUACAGAACAAACAGCUUCAGCAUGCAUCCAUGUUCAAUCUUAGGAUAUAAACCCAACAGUAGAACCACAAAACCUGCUGCAUUUUUCAUGUUUCAAUGGUUUUAGCCCUACAAACGAAAUACCAAAGCUUAAAAAUCCCAUCUUUUCACAGUAUACAGCUACAGCAGCAAAAGAUCCAUUGGAUUCAACGUCGCACAAAUAAAAUCCCUACAAAAUGCGAGUCCCAUAACGAUACUACCAGUCCGGAUUAGAGAUUCAGAAUCCAAGGAGCAUACAUACCAUCCGGUCAUGAACUUCUUGGACGCCCAGCUAUGCACAACCUUAUGGAACGCCUAAAACAAAAAGCACAAAAAAAAUCAGCUACAUUUCAUAUCCCACAACAAUUCGCGCAUUGACAUUUCUCGGGCAGACCAAAUCUGACUCGAGAAGCCACCGCCAUGCGAGGCGAGGGGGAAGUAGGAGGAGGGGAAGAGGGAAGGGCGGCGACCUCGCGGCCGGUCUGCGCGGCGGCGGCGGCGGCGGAGGCAGAGGAGGGCUUGCUCUCGUCGUCGUCGGAGUCGGCGACGGCGCGGGCGGACGGGGACGCAUGGGUGGCGACGGCGGCGGUCGGCACGAGCAGGUCCCGGUCCCGGUCCCGGUCGCGGUCGCGGUCGCGGCUGGGCAUCGGGAUUAGCACCGACGGCUUCGCGUCACCCAUCGCCAUCCGAAGAUCUCCCUCCCUCUCGAGGCUCUCAGCUGGAGGCUGGAGCGGCCGGCUCCAGCUGCCUCCUCUCUCUCUCUCUCUCUCUGGUUUCUUGUUUGGGGACUUGGGAUGUUCGUGGUUUUGGGCUACUGCUGGCCUCGUUUUCGGUUUUUUUUUUUUUUUUUUUUUGGCUGAGGCCGACGCCCUCCGGAACCAGAGUAGGCGCAGCGGCGGCACAUGGAAUCGGCUGUCGAUUCUCGGAGGUUCGGAUAUGUUUGGCUCGAGUCAACGUACUUCAUCUUGGGCCUUGUUUACUUCCUCAAUAUUUUACAAAAUGUUUCAGAUUUUUCGUCACAUCAAAUCUUACGGCAUAUGUAUAAAGUAUUAAAUAUAGAUAAAAAUAUAACUAAUUAUACAGUUUGUAUGUAAUUUACGAGACGAAUCUUUUGAGCCUAGUUAAUCUAUGAUUGAACAAUAUUUGUUAAAUACAAACAAAUGUGUUAUUGUUCACAUUUUGCAAGUUUUUUUGCAAGUAAACAAGGCCUGUAUGUUAUUCUACAAAUUAUAGGUUACUAGCAAAACUACCCGUGCGUUGCAAUGGGAGAAAAAAAGUUAUCAAAUCUAUAUCUAUAUUUCUAUUAUAUAAUUAUAUAUAAUAACAAAGAGGCAAAAUUUUAGCCUAUUUUUUGUCCAUCUAUUUUUUGUUCAUCUCCCUCUAACUACCGGACAAUGCAGAGUUUCUUUCGUCCGAAAUUAUAUAUAACUCGUGCUUAUACGAGUUAAAAUAACUCUUGUCUAAUAUGAUAUGGAGUUCUAUUCUAGUUUUAUAUAGGUCAUAUAUACGGUAACCUUGAUAGCUAGAAAAAGUCCUAAUCUUAAUAUAAAUAGAUUACUUUAAUCUUUUGAGUAAGCUAAAUAAGAAUUCUAAUUCAAGAGUUUGAUUCCAGAUUUAUAUUGAUACUAUAUAGGGUAAUAUUGAUAGCUAGGAAUCCUAAUCCUAAUCCUAUACAAAUAGAUUACUCAUCUUUAAGUAAUCCAAAUAAAAAAAGAUAUAAAAUUUUCUAUUUUAUUGGUUUACCUUUUUUCUAUUAUUUUUUAUCUAUCUCGUCCCGGACUACUCCCGCAAACCCAUGGGGUUUUUAAACCCGGUUCACCAUAUCAUCACACAAUAUAAUUAGUACAUAAAGAACAAAAUGCAAGAAAAAAUAAACAAAAUAGAGAACAUGCAUGCUCGAUACUUUUUUAGUAGAAGCUCCUUAUGUAAAAACUACAGGUAGCUAGUGCGUCUUAGUGCAUGCACUUAGUUUAUCUGGACUCAAAGAUAUGACAGAUGUUGACACUAAGCAUUAGCAGGUCAUGGCCCAAUGCAUGCUAGAGGUGAGUGUUUCUGUCUCAACUCGCAAAUGUCUAGUGAGGAGGUGCAAUAACACACAACAUGAUUCUCACCUUGCCAAUUGAUUCAACUUUAAGUAUUUUGGUGCGCUAUAAAGUAGACUUGCUCACUUGACUGGAUGACCAUCUUGUGACAUGCUGUGACGGGCACGGGCAACCCGUUAAAUACCCGUGACGUGACGGGUCAUGGGUUUUUUAGUGGGCACAUUAUGUUAAUGGGCAUGAGUUUGGGAUAGCAAAACCCAGCGGGUUUAUACCCGUUGCCAUCUUUAGUUAGGUUGGAAGGGACGUGUCAAGGAGAGACUUGUUGUUGGCCAGAGAGACACGCUACGAAAUGGAAAAGAUGACGAUGUGAUCGGAUACUGGCGGACAGGAUUGUGGCGGACAAAAAAAAGACAGGCUGAAAUUUUUCUUUUUAAUCAAGCAUCACAUUAAAUAGGCUAUCAUAAAAUUUUCAUAAUAAUUGGAGUAAGAUAAUUACAAUUUUAAUUUUACACUAAAAAAUAUAGGCAAGCAUCUCCGACAAAAACAAAUAUACUAAAAAUUAUGAUAUUUUUUGUUUACGACAUGGAUCUAAAUAUGUGGAGCUGAAUAAAAUUUGUUUUGUAAUUUUUAGAUUUAUUUAUGAAUUACUAUAAAUUUAUUAAUUUUAUAGGAGAUUUUACAUUAGGAACCUUAGAAAACUUUUAUUUUUUUUUCUCUUUCAGCAGGCUACCUACAAGCUACAGGCCGAUUGCGGAAUGCGGAUGCAGCCGAUUGACGGCCAGAUUUGCACUUAGAACCUUGUACUUUCUUUAUUCUUAAUAUGCUCUAAUAUAUAUAAAUGAUUUUACAUUGGGAACCCUAGAAAAACUUCUAUUCUUCUUUUUUCUACUCCACAAGGUACAGGAUUCGGAUAUGGUGGGCAGAAAACUUUUGGACGGAAUGAAAUUUUCCCUCUUUAUAGAUAGGUAUAGAUUUUGAUUUUUUAUGGCAAAAUAAUUUUUACCAAACAUCAAAAUAUAUAUGGUAUGUCUGAAUAUCCAUUCUAAAUUACAAAAUUAUAAGAUGUUUUGGUUUUCUAAAUAAUAUAUCUAGAAAACCUAAAAUAUUUUAUAAUUUAAACAAAGGGAUUGGGUACUAAGAAUGAUAUACUUAAAAUAUUUUUAUUGCAACUAUUUAUAAUUUGCAUUGAAGGAAGUAUUUACUGAUAUGCGUAAGAGUAUCUUCAAGAGUUUCCAAAUUAACUCUACUUUUGAUCGCAAGAAUUCCAUAGGAAUUGUGUAGUAAUUUUAUACAAAUCAGUUAAUUUUCAUAGAGAAAACGUAGAAAACUGAUAAAUCUCGCAAUCCAAAGUGGUCUUGAAUCUUGUUUUUUAGCAAGAUUAGGAAAAAAACUCAGUCUCCAAUAACCCCUUAGAGCAUCUCUAAGAAUAGAGCAUUUGCAUCACAAACUCACAAUAACUAGGAGAAUUCCCCGCGCGUUGCCGCGGAUAUGAAGGAGGAAUAUAAUAAAUAUAUAACUCUUUUAUUAGCAUAAUCAUUGGAAAUUGUAUCCAUAGUGGAUGAUGUGUCUCGUUGAUGUGGAUGUCAUAAUUCUUGUGCUAGUUAACUUUAAUGCAAACGAUAGUAGAUUGCUGAGGUGGACACCUUGCAUGUCAGGAGAAAUUGAUAGAGGCAAAUGAUAGUGGACUGCUGAGAUGGACGCUUUGUAUUUUAAGAAAAAUAGAUAGUGGAGUUGAUAAUGGACUGCUGAGGUGGACGCAUUGCAUGUCAAGAGAAAUAGAUAGUGGGGUUUUGCUUUAUAAGAGUUAUAGAUAUGUAUACCUCAUAGCACACCUAGAGAGGAAUACUAAAGUUUAUUUCACUGCAUUUAUAUUUUUAUUAAUUCCUUAAGAAAUUAAUUUGUUUCUCCAACAUAAGGCAAAUAUAGCAAACAAAUCAUUAUAAAGUAAAAGGUACAUUUGCAGAUGUUUUUUAUAGUUAGGAAACAUCAUAAAUUUAAGGAAAUUGGGUUUUUCAAAUUUUAAGUGCAAUAGUUAGUGCUAGAGGAGCCAAACCAGACAAUAGCUUUAUACUAGUGGAGCUAUUAGCUAACCUAUGAGAAGAGCUCCAUUUGGAUCCUAGAUCUAAUAGUUAGUCGGUCUUUAGGGCCUAUUUAUUUGAGAUGCAUCUUUUGGUGUAUUGGCUCAAAAGCUAUUUUCUGUUUUUUGGUUUAUGGCUUCUGGCUAUAGACUUUUGUAAUAAUGUUUUAGCUUCUUAUCUGCGACGUUUGUUGGCUACACGUGUCGCAGAUAAGCCCUUAUCUGCGACAUGUGGAGCCAAUAAGAGUCACUGAUAACGAACUAUCUGCGACGCGUGUAGCUAAUACGCGUCACUGAUAACAAUUUCCGAAAAAUAAAAAAAAUCAUAUAUAUAUAUAGGGCAUAUAUAUAUACCCUAUAUAUAUGUAUAUGAUUUUUUUAUAAAUAUAUAUAUAAGCACACACAAAUGUUUCACCAUUUCAACAAUACAUUCUUUACAAGGUUUUUAGAUACAAUUCAUACUACAAAAUAUUCAUGUCGUCUCAGGGUGAGCCAAGCUCAUUACAUAGAUAUCAAGUUCUUGCAUAGAUAUCAAGUUCUUGUAAGUUCAACAGAUAGCAAAUAAUAGUACUCUAUAUGAAGAAACUCAUUACAUAGAUAUCAAGUUCAACAGAUUCACAUUCAUGUCAAAUUCAUCGACAACAAGUUCCGUCACAAGAUUGUACAACUUAUUCACUCACACACUGGACACAUUGAUAAUAAUGGCAAUCACACAUCACUGGAGCUUAACUAGGAUUAUGGAACUCCCCUCUCUUGUUGAUGAUCUGUUCCAUAAAGAACUUGCUCAGCUUCUCCCUAAUUGCGUUGAAAUCGAUAGGCGCCGUCAGCACUUCAAAUUCCUGUGUCAAGAUAUAACUCUAGUAAAAAUGAAAACAUGGCACAAUGCAAAGUACAAAUCAUAUUAGUAAAACUCAAAUGCACUGUUGGCUUAUAUAUAUUUCUUGUGUUGGAUAGGAGAGGUAGAAAUGAAACCAUCCUAAUGCCGCCUAUUUCAUUUUUGAAAGAUUCAACAAUUGAUAAUUCCAUUCUAAUCUAGUACCUUCUGAUCUAGUAGUAGGGCACUAAAAACAUGGACACUAAAAUGCUGUAAAGCAAAGAUUUAUAGAAUCCAAUAGAUUUUCUGAUCAGGUAUGCUUUUAACCAUUUUAACAGUGAAGUAAUGAUGUCAAAUGGAAGAUUUGCAGAGCUGGGAAAACUGUGGCUAGUAAUUUAUUCAGAGAUCAUUCUAGAAGAAUACCUCAGGGCAUUCCAAGUCUGUCUUUUGCAUGGCUAACAUCAAGUUGUGUGCAGCAUAGAAGCUGGAUGUCUUGCUAGAAGUUUGUUGUUGGCACUGCAACAUAUAUAUUAAUUAGAGGUGAAUACACACAAUCAUUUGAAAAUGGAAGUGGGACACAAUACUGUUGAUGCAAAAGCUGAUCUGCAAACACAAAGGGCUAAUACCCGAUUUAAACGUUAAGGCGUGCCAGCCGAUUUGACCUUACUAUCGGCAAAGGUGGUAACUCGAAUACUUUGGUCCCGACAACAGCGAUGCGCCCGGAUGCCACGGCCAAAAGGUAUUCACACGAAACUUGAGAACACGUCGAGCUUAAGUCGACGAAUUCCUAAGAACUCGUAACGAAAAGGAAAAAAGUAUGACGAAGUCGUCGAAAAAGUAGAUGCUAGAAUUUGAGUAAAAACGUGUGUUUGAUUGAUUGAUAGAUAAAUUCUUUACAAGGCCCUAGGGUCUACAUUUAUACCCUGCUCAAAGAGCUACAACCAGACACGACUAGGAUUCGAAUUCCAAAUUUAAACAGAAUCCGUGUACAAAACGACUUAAAUAACUAAGGAAAACGCAAAACUAUCCUCACGUGACAAACUAGAACACCCCCACAAGCCGACCGGCAACUUCCAGGCUCUCCCUCCGUAUCAUCGGCAGACUCCCUUAUCAUAGCCAUCGGCACAAGCACAUCGUCACCUAUGGACUCGGUCACGUUCCGCCAUACUUCCAUCGGCAACCAUCCUCAUCGGCAACUCACCCUGUAGAUCAAGCACUGCCGUCUUAUCUUACCGACCUACACUUUACCAAUCAUGGACACGUGCCUAAAAACGGUGUCAACACAUGCCCCCCAAUUUCGGAGUAUGAAAUCAUUAAUACUCCAAAAUUCUCUGCAGUAAUGAUGCCUUUCCGCAAUUAAUGCUCCCAAUCUGGUAACCGACAGCCUUAAUCUGAACAACUCUGAUCAUAUUCCUCUGCAGAUUCCUCCAAAUCCUCAACCUCCCAAACGGACAUUUCCACUUUAGUCGCGCAUCUGCAAUAUUACCGUUACAGGGACUUGCCGAUGGACGUCCAUAUCCCAUCCUCCCAAACGGCUAUCUCCACUUUAUUCGCCCAUCGGCAAUAUGACCGUUACAAGGCGCUGCCGAUGGACCGACCAGGAGAUCUCGCACAGUGAAAUAUCUGUGGACAAUGACCGCUUCCUGUCAAAUCGCCUGCACAAUCCCUUGAUUACCGUGCGAACAGUUACCCCUCGGAUUUCACGGAUACGGCGAAGAGAUAAGUCAAAUUUACCCUUGCCCGUUUUGUUCUAUAAAUAGUUCCUUCUCGGGUACUCCUUCUUCAUCACAUCAUUCCACAGCUCCAACUUCACUUUCCCGGCGGCGGUGCUGUUCAAGAGCUCCAAGAUCCCCAAGGAAACCCCUUCUUCACCAACUCCGAAGCCUUCGACCAUCCUCUUCGUGACAAGAUGGCCAUCAACUUCACCGUUCCUGAGGUUAGUUCUUCACUCCACCUUUUGUGCUUUUUCUCACAUCCCUGUUCAUCCGCAAUCCAUUUUACUGAACAUUUUCUUUUUCUUUCUUUGUUCUUCUUUUACCUUCAAAAACCAUUAGGAUCUGUCCAACAAAAUUGUCAUCCCCACCGAUCAACCACACCUCCAAUGCCUUGGUCCGUUAGGGAAUCCAGAUCCAACCGAGCUCAUUAACGCAGAAACCAACAGAAUCCCUUUUAGAGCCGAGAACUUUUCUUUAGAUCUAUGGAAGGAUACUUUCCGUUCUUGGCUCAGUCCUACCGUGGGAUGGACGGAUUGUUUCUUGAGGGUUAGCCACUCAAAUGAAGUCCAGUGGGGCGAGAGAAAACUAGACCAAUGCAUCAGGUUGUCUAUUGCCGAUAUGCAUAGAAAUGAAUCACUGCUGAUAGCUGCAUCACACUUCUGGUCAGACACGCUCAACGCUUUUGUCUUUGGCCACGGCCCUGCCUCCCCUACUCUUGCCGAUGUAGCUAUGCUCACUGGCCUAGAUGUAUCUUCUGCCGAUAGCACUCAUUUCUUCGAUACCAAACCCAGUGCUAAGAUAGAAACUCGUGUCAUCGGCGGUUGGUCAGGGUACAUCCAAAAAUACAGACGAACAGGCCCUGUCAACAUAAAGGAGCAGACCAGCUUCCUGAACAUGUGGUUAGAUAAAUUCGUGUUUUGCGGCCGAUCGGCAGGACCAACUUCCGUUUACCUAGCAGCAGCAAGAAAAUUUGGCUAACGGUGGCCGAUUUCCCCUCGGCCGAUACCUGCUCGGUGCAGCCUAUCACCUCCUUCACCAAGUGACUAGGAAACUCCUACUCGGCCAGUCUAUCGUCAACUUGGGAGGUCCCUGGUGGUUCAUCAACAUGUGGCUCAGUCUCCACAUGCACAAGCGUCUUGAGUUUGACCUUUUUGCACAGCGUUUUCCAAGAGACAUAGCCGAGGACUAUGAACUGGAUGAAGAAGAAUCGGCAACACGCCCUCCCCUAAACUUUGGUGAAGCUGUCAUAGUUCUACCUGGUACAGGGGGUAAUGCAGACCAGGUCAGUCGAUUCUUCCAAACCUUGUAUGAAGGCUUGACCAGAGAGGAGCGAGCAUGGUUGGCUUAUGACGAUCCAGACACCAUGUUUCCUCUGGUUUUCAACCCAUUCAAUGAUGCUCUUAUCACGGAUCACGAAGUGAAGAUGGCACUGGUCACUCCCAGAGCUAUACCAGUGAAUUUCUUUGGCAGUGGGAAAACCUCCAACCAGACCUAUGAGUUUUACAACCCAUCGGCAUUAGCUCGUCAAUUAGCUUUUGGCCAGCUGCCGAUUGCACUCUGUUAUGACGAUGUGAUAAAACCCAGGGAAACCAUCACUAGCCUCCUUGAAUGGAUCCGAGUAGCCCAACUGCCAUCAAGUGCCGAUACAGAUGUAGACUUGUCAGAGUGGGUUCCAGCCGCCUUCAUCACUCAGGCGUACAAGCAAUGGUGGGCAGAAUGGAAGGAACAUCUGUUCUGCAGAUCGGCUCUUACGUAUCGCGGCAUGAUCGACCCCGAGUACAAAGUUCCCGAUAACACUGUAAGUAUCUUCAAACCGAUGUUUCAAUUUUCUCAUUUUUAUUUCCAUUGGCGAUUUACCUUUGUAUCAUCCUGCAGGUUGACAACACCCCUCCAUCGGUCAGCAGGAGUGGCAAGCCGAUUGACCUAUUCCCAUCUGGUCCAAUCUCUUCAAUCGGCAACAACUCUCCCACCCUGGCCGCCAUCAUGCAUCGAGGUGUACGCCUCAAGAAAGUCACCACUAGGAGGACUCAAAUAUCUCCAUCGGUAGCCGCUUCCACUUUGGCAUAGGUAUUCAAGGUAAUUGUUAAACCUUUUCAUUCAUACCAAUUCUUAUUUUACAUCUGCCACACUUGUACUCAUAAACCUUUUCCACAUCAGCAGACCGGCGCAUCGGCAAAGACCAGAAGCAAAAGUGCCGAUGCCCCCCAGUCCAGUCAACCGAAGAGAAAGGGUGCCAAGAACACCAGGGCACAAGCAAAGCGCCAAAGGGUAGCAACGCCUCCUCCUCCUCCCCCGGUAUCUCCAAUCCCAGUGGAAUCUUCUCCUUCUUCUCCAGAAGCCCAGAUGCAACAAGUGCCAUCUCCCCCUCCAGUGCAAGAAGCACCACAAGUGGAAGAACCCCAACCAGAAGAGCCUCAACCAGAAGUACCUCAACCAGAAGACACAUCGGCUGAUGUGCAUGAACGAACUACCGAUCCAGCAGGUUCCAUUAUAGCAUCGGUGGUCUCUUCCAUCCAGACAAGUACUGCUCUUCCUCAAGGUAACACACUUUUAUAAUAUUACUGCCGAUGAACUUAUUUUUCCAACUUUAUAACCUCUUCUGUUAAUUUUUAGCUGACAUAGUUCCAUCGGCAACUCUGGCCGAUCAACCCGUGGCUCCAUCGGCAUCUUCGAGUCAGAGGCGGGAGAUUGCCCUGAAACAAGUAAGUUAUCCAACCCCUGUUUGCAUCAUUUAUCAAUACCUGACCAUAGAAUAACUCGUUUUAUUUCCUUUUCAGGAGCAGGACUCUCCCGACAGCUUGUUCUCUUUCGCCAUCGACAUCUCCGAAGAUGAGGGUGAAGAAGCAAGCUCUUCUCGAGCAGUUGUGAUCACAUCGGCAGAAGUCAGGGCGAAGCUGGAAGAAUUAUCGGCUCUCCUCCACCAAGACACAGCCCAGCUAGUCGAUGAUUCCGAUCCGGCUAAGGCUUUAUUCAUGACUCUGAGGGGCCACAUCCCCGUCGAUGCCGAAGAAGUUCUCUUUCAAGCAGCACACCUGGAGAGCCGUCAACUGCAAUACCAGAGGGCUGCCCAGCGCCUUGCCGACAGAGUCGCUCAGACUCGUCUUUCCGAGGAGAUGAUGAAAGAAAAACUUCUUACCGAUGAAAAGCAUAAGACCAUCGGCACCCUGAAGUCCCCGGGAGAUGCACUGAAGCACAAAAUCUCCGAUCUGUCGGCAAAAAGAGAAGCUCUAUUGGCAGAACUUAAACAAGUAGAGAAUGCCCUGUCCCAAGCCAGACAGGAAGAAAGCCAACUGCCGGAAACAAUCAAGCUUCUUGAGCAAGAGCGAAAUGUCCAUAGUCACAAAGCACUGUAGUUGAAGAAGAAGUUGAAGCCAGUAGAAGGUUCUGAAGAUGAAGACGUCAAAGAGAUAGAAGCAGCCAAUCAAAUCCGCCUGCGUGCUAUAUCAGCCAUCCAAGCGCUGCUAAACAUGUGAGCACUUCAUCGGCAACAUACUCACCUCUCUCUGCUUUCCAGCUUUCUUGAUGUUUAGUCUAGCCGAUAGGACUGUUAUCGGCAUCUUUUGAAACAUUAAGCUCGGCCUCAGACACAUUUCAAUUUAGCCGAUAGGAGUGUUAUCGGCACUUAAACCUUUAUGCAUCGACCCAUAUGCUUGGGUAGUACUUCUUCAGAUAUUUGCCAUUUAAUGCUCUGGGAAAUUCAACUCCUUCGAGAGUUUCUAGAAUAUAGGCAUUACCAGGAGCCGAUCGACUUAUCCGAUAGGGACCCUCCCAAUUGGGAGACCACUUCCCAAAUUUUGAACUUUUAGUCCCGAUCGGCAAGAUCAAUUUCCAUACCAAGUCUCCAUCGGCAAACUCCUUAGCCUUCACUUUCUUAUCGUACCAUCUAGCAACUCUCUUCUUAUUUUCUUCUAUACUCAUUAAAGCCUUUAACCGAUGUCCUGCUAGAUCGUCUAACUCAUCGGUCAUCAAAGUGGCAUAAUCAUCGACAGCCAAUUGAUCUUGAAAAGAUAGUCGCCUAGAUCCAGUCUUAAUUUCCCAAGGUAACACUGCAUCAUGCCCAUACACCAACUGAUAAGGUGAAACCUUAGUUGAUCCAUGAUAAGCCAUUCGAUAGGACCAUAAAGCUUCACUUAACAAUGUGUGCCACCGCUUAGGAUUUUCUUCAAUUUUUCGUUUGAUAAGCUUGAUAAUUCCUUUGUUAGAUGCCUCGGCCUGUCCAUUAGCUUGAGCAUAAUAAGGAGAAGAGUUUAACACCUUAAUUCCCAUACCGAUUGCGAAUUCAUCAAACUCCCCCGAUGUGAACAUAGUACCCUGAUCGGUAGUGAUUGUUUGAGGAAUCCCAAAUCGGUAAAUAAUGUGCUCCUUCACAAAAUCAAUCAUAUUGGCCGAGGUAACUUUCUUCAAAGGAAUAGCCUCAACCCAUUUGGUGAAAUAAUCGGUGACAACCAAGAUAAACUUAUGCCCUUUGCUAGAUGGCGGAUAAAUCUGACCGAUUAAGUCAAUAGCCCACCCCUGGAACGGCCAAGGUUUGAUAAUAGGAUUCAUGGCCGAUGCGAGUGCUCUUUGAAUGUUGCCAAAUUUCUGACAUCCUUGACAUCCCUUGAAAUAUUUAAAGCAAUAUUCAAGUAUGGUCGGCCAAUAAUACCCGUUCCUCCUAAUCAUCCACUUCAUCUUAAAAGCCGACUGAUGUGCUCAACAUACCCCUUCAUGGAUUUCUCCCAUCAAACUCUUAGCUUCAUCAUCACCUAAGCAUCGGAGAAGAAUCCCAUCAACAGUUCGAUAAUACAAUCCAUCUUUGAGGAGCACAUACUUGGUGGCUUGAAACCGAACUCGUCUUUCGACUUUCUUGGAUGGAUCUUUCAAAUAGUCAACGAUUUCUUUUCUCCAAUCAUCGGCACCAAUUGCCGAUAUUGCAUUAAUCAUAGCUGAUAUCCCGAGGCUUGCUGAGCCAACCGAUUGGUCUCUUCAUUAUGCAAUCGAGGAACAUACUCUAAUCGAAAAUCCUUGAAUUCCUUUAACAAUUGCAUACUCCGCUCGUAAUAAGUUAUGAGAACUUCAUUUCGGCACUCAUAGCUUCUAGUCAAUUGAUUUAUAACUAGCAUAGAAUCCCCAAAAACUUCGACAGCAUCAGCAUGAACUUCCCUUAACAAUUCCAAUCCCUUUAUUAAAGCUUGAUACUCAGCCUGAUUAUUCGUCGACGUGGCAACAAUUGGCAAGGAAAACUCAUACUUCCUUCCCCGAGGGGAAAUUAAUACUAUACCCAUUCCUGCCCCCUGGUCACAUGUAGAUCCAUCAAAGAAAAGCGUCCAAGGUACAAUUCCCAAAGCCUCCACUGUACCGCAAUGUUGAGUUACAAAAUUGGCCACAAUCUGCCCUUUAACUGCCUUAGCCGAUUCAUAACGCAGAUCGAACUCCGACAGCGCCAAAAUCCAUUUACCGAUCCUGCCACUCAUAAUCGGCAUGGACAGCAUGUACCGGACCACGUCAUCUUUGCAAAUAACAGUGCAUUCGGCCGAUAACAAGUAGUGCCUUAACUUGAUACAAAAGAAAUAUAGGCACAAACAUAGUUUCUCAAUAGCCGAAUACCUGGUCUCAGCAUCAAUCAACCUCCUGCUUAAGUAAUAAAUUACACGCUCCUUCCCUUCAAAUUCUUGAAUUAAAGCCGAACCGAUGGCCAUCCCAUCGGUAGACAAAUACAAUCUGAAGGGCUUCCCUUGCUGAGGUGGAAUUAGAACUGGAGGGUUCACUAAAUAAUUCUUGAUUUCGUCCAGAGCCAACUGUUGUUCCUUCCCCCAAACAAACUCUUGAUCGGCCUUUAACUUAAGAAGAGGACUGAAAGCACGAAUUUUACCAGACAAAUUAGAUAUAAACCUUCUGAUAAAAUUUACCUUGCCGAUCAAGGACUGGAGCUCGGUCUUGUUGGUAGGGGCCACUAUCUUAUUGAUGGCAUCAAUAGAUCUUCGACUGAUUUCAAUCCCCCUUUGGUGCACCAUGAAACCAAGAAAUUGUCAUGCCGAUACACCAAAUGCACACUUAUUGGGAUUCAUUUUCAAACCAUGCUUCCUUGUGCACUCUAACACCUUUCGUAAAUCGGCAAGAUGCUUUGUGAAGUCUCCAGAUUUUACCACCACAUCAUCAAUAUAAAUCUCCACCAGCUUGCCGAUGAACUCAUGAAAUAUAAAAUUCAUGGCCCUUUGAUAAGUAGCACCAGCAUUCUUUAAGCCGAAGGUCAUGACUAUCCAUUCAAACAAUCCAACAUGACCAGGGCACCUGAACGCGGUCUUUGGAAUAUCCUCUUCAGCCAUGAAUAUUUGAUUGUAUCCUGCAUUGCCAUCCAUAAAGCUAAUAAUCCGAUGCCCAGCCGCAGCGUCAACUAGCAGAUCGGCAACUGUCAUUGGGUAUCCAUCCAUCGGUGUAGCUUUGUUGAGAUUCCUGAAAUCAAUGCAGACCCGAAGCUUCCCAUUCUUCUUAUAGACCGGAACAACAUUGGAAAUCCGCUCGGCAUACCGACACUGCCGAAUAAACUUGGCUUCAAUAAGUUUGGUUAUCUCGGCCUUAAUAUCAGGGAGGAUAUUAGGAUUUCAUCGGCGAGCCGGCUGCUGAUGUGGCCGAAAUCCAGACUUGAUAGGUAACCGAUGUUCAACAAUUGAUUGGUCCAAACCAGGCAUCUCAGUAUAAUCCCAAGCAAAGCAAUCUUUAUAUUCCUUUAACAAAUCGGUUAACUGUUGCUUACACUCAGAAUCUAAUUUAGCACUAAUAAAAGUGGGUCUAGGCUUAUCACCACUACCUAUAUCUACUUCUACUAGAUCAUCGGCCGAUGUGAAUCCCUGGCCUAACUUUCCAUCAUCGGCGAACCUAUCCAUUAAAAACCUUCAUCAGAACCGACUGCUUGGAUCGGUGGAAUCUCGUAAUCGGCAACCUUAAGAAAAUCCUUUUCCCAAAUUUCUCCUGAAAUACACCUAGUCUUUUCGUAGGUGUCUGCCUCUGCUGAUGUGAUGACAUAAGAAGAAUCUCCUGGGACAAUUUCAAUCUUGUCACCUACCCACUGGACCAAGCAUUGGUGCAUUGUAGACGGGAUGCAACAAUUAGCAUGAAUCCUAUCUCUUCCCAACAGUAAGUUGUAAGCACCCUUUCCACUGAUCACGAAGAAUGUUGUCGACAAGGUUUUACUGCCGAUGGUCAACUCUACGCAUAUUGCCCCCUUUACCGGAGACACAUUUCCUUCAAAAUCCUUAAGCAUCAUAUCAGUCUUGGUUAAAUCCUGAUCCCCUUUCCCAAGCUUCCGAUACACUGCAUAUGGCAUGAUAUUAAUAGCGGCUCCACCAUCAAUCAGAAUCUUGGUCAUCGGCUGACCAUCCACUUUUCCUUUAACAAACAGGGCCUUGAGGUGCUGCCUUUCAUCAUCGGCAGGCUUCUCGAAGAUAGCCGUCAUCGGAUCCAGAGCCAACUGAGCUAUCUGGUCAGAAAAUUCCAACUCAUCAUCACUGGAUGGUGCAAGGAACUCCAUCGGCAACAUUAAUACCAUGUUGACAUCUGCCGAUGGACCUUUCCCCUUAGGAUCUGAUUGUUGCUGAUCCCCAGACUGUCCAGAGUUCUCCCCUUUGCUUAACUCUUCUCGCCUUUCGUGCUGCAGUCUUCUCUUUUGAGUCCUGGUCAACCCCUCUGGACACCAUGGAGGCAGUUGCUGCUGCCUUACCGAUGGGCGAUGACUCUCCCUUGACUCCACCCGAUAAGUAUUGGCAUCCCUACAAAAUACGAACUCAUCGGGAACCCGAGCAUUAGCCAUUUCUUCAAGUUCUUCCUGGUUCCUGGGAGAAUAUUGAACACGAUCGCCAAGCCUGUCGUGCACGCUGAGCCUGCCCCCAGCCGAUCGUGAACGGACGCUCUUCCUCUGAUCGGCCCAUUAGAUCGCCGAUUGUCGUCGUGAUAGCGCCGAUUGGAUCUAUCAUACCGAUCAUAACCGUUGCACUCAGGGCACUCUCUGACAGUGGGAAGCUUAAUAUUCUCCUCCCAACAAUGAAUGAAGAACGGGCAAUUCCAGUGAUCCCUAUGCCGAUUCCAUUCUUGUCGGCGUCUUUCCUCUUCCCGACGAUAAUCCUCUUGCUGGCGCCGGUACCGAUCUUCACGUUGCUGCCAAGUCUCCCGAGGCCUCCUGUGAGUUAUCACAAUACCAGAUCGGGGAGGCCUUCCUGAGUUAGCUCCCUCCUGGAUCAAGCCUUUUCCUUUGGCAUCGGCAGUAGUGAUCUGAUGCUGAGGAUCCACCGAUGCACUUCUUUCAGCUGCUUCCGACGUCAAGACCUUGGCCUUUCCCUUAGCAUCCAACAUGUUCGUUGGGAAAGGAUGUUGAUCAAUCUUCAUCGGCUUCUGGGUCUUGGAACUAUCAAAUUUGAUCCUUCCAGACUCUAUAGCCGAUUGCAGCUGCUGUCUGAAAACCUUGCACUCAUUAGUGUCGUGAGAAGUUGCAUUGUGCCACUUGCAAUACUUCAUCCUUUUUAAUUCUUCAACCGAUGGGAUCACAUGAUUAGGUGACAGCUUGAUCUGACCUUCCUGGAGCAGAAAGUCAAAUAUCCUAUCAGCCUUGGUGGUGUCGAACGCGAACUUCCCUGGUUCUUUAUGUCCAAAAGGACAAGACAUCGGCUUUUUAUUUUUCACCCAUUCUGCCAAGCCGAUGACUGGUUCUUCAUCGGAGUCCGAACUUGCCGCUUCAUCCACAAAUGAUACCUUUUUAUUCCAUGCUCUCUUGGAUUCAAACGGCUUGAUGUCCUGAUCAGAGAUUCUCUGCACCAAAUGACUUAAGCUUUCAAACUCCUGAGAUGCAUAUUUGUCCCUUAUGUGCGGCAACAAGCCCUGGAAAGCCAAAUCGGCUAGCUGCCGAUCAUCCAGAACCAGGCUAUAGCAUUUGUUCUUGACCUCCCGUAUCCUCUGCACGAAACUUUCAACCGAUUCAUCAUUGCGUUGCCUUAAUUUGACCAAAUCGGUGAUCUUCUUCUCAUGGACCCCAGAAAAGAAGUAUUUGUGGAAUUGUUUCUCCAAAUCGGCCCAGGUAAUCACUGAGUUGGGAGGUAAUGAUAUAAACCAGGUGAAAGCUGAUCCAGACAACGAUGACGAGAAUAAGCGAACCCUUAACUCGUCUCUGUUACCAGCUUCCCCGCAUUGAAUGAUGAACCUGUUGACAUGCUUCAUGGUUGACGUGUCAUCCUGCCCAGAAAACUUAGUAAAAUCCGGUACCUUGUACUGAUUUGGAAGCGGCAUAGACUUUGGGAGGAUACGGUGUCCGAUAAGAAUAAGUGUUGACUUUGGGCUUUAUCCCAAAUUGAUCCCUCAUUACUUCAGCAAUCUUAUCGGCCCAAUAAGCAUCGACAUCUUGCCGAUGAGGUGGUUGCGGAUCCGGCGCCUGCUGGUAAGCUUCCACGUGUCUGUGCGGCGCACGAUCUGCAUGAAACAUUGGGUUAAUCAUUUGGCCCCCAAUCUGCGGACCCCCAAGCUGUUGCCUGCCAAUCUGCUGUCCGCCGACCUGCUACCCGAGAUUCAUUGGCUGGUUAGGGAUCCCCUGAUUCUGGAACCCGAGAUGGAUCUGGCCUUGCUGGAACCCUGUAGCCUGAUGACUCUGUUGGGGUGUUUGCGGAAAGACUUGCUGCCCAAGCCAUCCACUAUUAGCAUUCAUCGGCAUAGGCCCUGCCGAUGAUUGGUAAUUGGGCAUUAUCAUUGAAUUGACAUACCCUGGUUGAGUCAUAAACCUCUGUUGCAUCAGCAUUGAGUCUGCCGAUGCGUUAGGCAUCUGGAACGUUGGAGCUUGAGAAUUCCCAGUGUAAGGUCUUGCAGUAGUAGUUGUAGUAUACUGGGGACUUUGAUUCAUCGGCAUAUUAGGAGGUGUCGAUGCCAUAGGAGCCUUGCCUCUCAUGUCAGUUGCCUGAGAUGUGCCAGGCGUCUUCAAGUAUUCCGGGGGCAUACCGAAACCCCACCAGUUAGGAGGAGGAACCGGUCCUGACAUUGCCGAUGCUAAUAGAUCUGUAGUGAGCCUAAUCUGCUCAUCUGAAGUCGGUGGAUUGGCUGUCAUCGGCGUAGAUUGUGCAUUAGUGACUCCCAACGUACUUGGAGGAACGGUAGUCUGUAUUCCCGCAGCGGGUGUAGCGGCUGGUGGAGCUGUGACCACCGGUGACCCUGGCUAGUGAUGAGAGGAGCCCACAUAAUCUGGUGGCAAUUGUCUUUCCUUGAAGGUUCUGGCCACGACAUUGAAAACCGUAUUGGACAGUACACCAGCUUGGUUGAUCAAAGCACGGUUGAUAGCACUAUCAACCAUCUCUUGAAGUUUACCAGGAUUGGCUUCAAAAGUAACCUGCCGAGGCGUCGGCAGUGCAUCCUUCUGGAUCACUUCGCCGCUCCUGUUCAUACUGAAGGAUCUCAGGCACUGCUGCUUGUAAUCCUCCAUGGCUUUAGCAAUAGCUUGCUUCUGCUCAUCCUUGAGAUUGGCUUCCAUCACGGGGAUGACGUUCUCUUGAUCAAACUCAGAAGUCGACAUGUUGAUCUUGAUCUUGAAUCUGUCCCACUGGGCAUGCCAAAAGAUGUGUUGAUGCAAAAGCUGAUCUGCAUACACAAAGGGCUAAUACCCGAUUUAAACGUUAAGGCGUGCCAGCCGAUUUGACCUUACUAUCGGCAAAGGUGGUAACUCGAAUACUUUGGUCCCGACAACAGCGAUGCGCCCGGAUGCCACGGCCAACAGGUAUUCACGCGGAACUUGAGAACACGUCGAGCUUAAGUCAACAAAUUCCUAAGAACUCGUAACGAAAAGGAAAAAAGUAUGACGAAGUCGUCAAAAAAGUAGAUGCUAGAAUUUGAGUAAAAACGUGUGUUUGAUUGAUUGAUAGAUAAAUUCUUUACAAGGCCCUAGGGUCUACAUUUAUACCCUGCUCAAAGAGCUACAACCAGACACGACUAGGAUUCGAAUUCCAAAUUUAAACAGAAUCCGUGUACAAAACGACUUAAAUAACUAAGGAAAACGCAAAACUAUCCUCACGUGACAAACUAGAACACCCCCACAAGCCGACCGGCAACUUCCAGGCUCUCCCUCCGUAUCAUCGGCAGACUCCCUUAUCAUAGCCAUCGGCACAAGCACAUCGUCACCUAUGGACUCAGUCACGUUCCGCCAUACUUCCAUCGGCAACCAUCCUCAUCGGCAACUCACCCUGUAGAUCAAGCACUGCAGUCUUAUCUUACCGACCUACACUUUACCAAUUAUGGACACGUGCCCAAAAACGGUGUCAACAAAUACUAAAUAUACUAGAGGCACAAUACUGAAUUUUAUAUUUGGAAACACUUACCGGAUAUUUAGAAGCGUGCGUCAAUGGUUGCGGCCUGUCUUUCAUCUUGCUUGUGUGUUUUUCAUAAGCCCUACAUGCAAUCCAGUACAGCACACACAUAUAUGCCUCAUUAUUUUUGUUCAAUGACAUUGGCAUUUAUAAAACAAGUCAUAUAGUAGGUAAGGAAAGAACUCACUCAUCAAUCAAGGAUUUUAACAUGCUGAAAUCAUGUUUUGCAGAUCUGUUGGAAUCAAGGUAUAUGACCUUAUUCCACUUUUGAAUUAUUAUCACCACGAUCCAAUGAGCACCAGCUAAGCCACCAAUGUUGUAGGCAAACAUUAUGAAGUCUCUAUUGGUAUACCUAGUGAAGGCCUUUUGAACAUUCUGCAUAACUCGGUCUCUAUCAAAGUUUAUGCUAUCUAGUGACAUCAGUUGUGGAUCAAGAAAGCCCACAUGAAUGUUCUUGGUCUUAGCUUCCAGAACCAGUGAUCUAAAAAUAAUAAAGAACAUGUAGAGAAAAUAAGAAAUAAGAGGUACUUGCAGCUGAAGAUAAGUGCAAAACAGACCCUAAAUCAUGUUAGCAUCACAAGCAUAUAUUCUAUCUUUAGUCAUUGCAAAUGCAGAAAUAAUAGUACUAUCAAUAGGACUAUAGCAGUUACUUACAAUGUCAAACAUUGAAGAAGCGAGGAAUCCAAAGCACCGAAGUUGAAAAGGUCAUAAAGAACAUUAUAUCUCACAAGGCUGACCUCAAAGUCUGCUGAGUUUAGCAUAUAAGUACCUCUGAACCGAACCAAUAUCCCACUCUUCACAUUUUCAAUGCAAUCUUUCAUGUAAUAAGAAUGAAGAGCGAUACAUCCCGGUCCUGCCUUCUUGAGGUCCAGUGAAUGGAGAAAUGCCUGCCCACACUUGUACUUAGAAGCCCCUUUUUGCUGCUGUUGUUGUUGUUUUAGACUCCCUCUAGCAUCCUCACUAGCCGCCUUGUGUUGCUUAGGUGGCUUUGCACUCCCUCCAGCAUCCUCACUAGCCACUUUGUGUUGCUUGUGUGGCUUUGCUGCAUCAGAUGUGGCAGGAGAUUGCUGCUUUGAAGGAGCUGAAUUGCCUCCACAAAGUUGCUUUGUCGAGAUUAUAGCACUAUUGCCCUUCGAAGCACUCUUGGCACUAUUUAUGUUCUCAAUUUGUUGAGAUUGGGCUGGCUGGGUAGGAUUGACAUAAAUGCGAUCCCUCCUCCAUUGUAUUCUCUGCAGUAGAGCGUCUCCAAGUGUUUCGGUCUCAUCAUUGGGGGGAAGCUGCAACACAUGAUCCUCAUGCCCCUAACAUACACAUUCCACUUGGACUACUGCAUGAUCAUACUGUAUUGGGACUGUGUGUAGCUCAAGUUGCUUUGGGAACACUCGACCCUCUGCAACCACAACUCGUAAGCCUCUAAGGUCUGCCAGAAGAGAACAUUGUGUUGGCUCUGUGAGAAGAUCAGUAGUAUCCGGAUCAAUUGAAUUAGGCCCCAACUCAGCAGCAUCGGAGGCAGAGCCACAACUGCUCCUUCGUCCGCAAGCAGGACUAGGGGUCCUAGAAGGUGGUGGUCUUACCAACAAUCCUUGGUCAGCAAGAGUUUUGAUGACAUCCUGUGUAACUUCUCAUCUGAGUUGUUCCAAAUCUAAUGCACUAGGCCUCUUCCGCUUUCUGUACGUGCCAGAGCACUCAGGCCAACCAUGCUUCCAGCUGGUAUAACUUGAAACAGCGCGUACUCGACCUGGCUGUUCAGGGCCCAAACAUGCAGUUAGCAGAUCAUUCUCCCUGACCCAAGUGAUGCCCGAUGCUUCUGCAGCUGAAUGCUUCACUUUGAUGUCUUCAGAGAUUUUUUUGUUGCAUCUUAUGUCCAGAUGAUCUCAGCUUUAUUUUCUGAUAUAUCAAGCUUACUCCUUCCUCGCAUAAACCUCAUGUGGCGGCCUUCAGGGAAUUCUUGCCAUGGGUUACUGAUGCCUUUACUGGCUAAAGUUGCAUCCUCCGUCUCCCACUGUUUUGAUUUGCCCUCAUACCCUGCUGUGCCCAAACAAUGGUUGUGCACAUUCUUUUGGCAAAGAAUUUUGUAUUUCUCACUUAUUGUUGCUGCUUCUGUGGACUGCUUCAAUGCCACAAAUUCAUCCCAAUCAUCAGGUUCAAGGUAUGGGUGCUUCUCAAAGGGACUAAGGUUUUUCUCAAUAUAACCAGUUACUAGCCUACAUUUGUGGCUUCUCUCUUAGAUAUCACCUUCAUUAUAUACUUAAACCCCCCUGUCUUCAUUGCAGUUGGGAACUCCAAGUAAGGCAUGACAUGUCUAUCAAACAAUUUCCAUUUCCUCUCAUCAGUAAGGUUUUUGAAUGAUGGCAUCACUAAGGAUAGUUUUUCCAUAGCAAUAAACGAGCAAGCAACCACAAUCUUCGUUGUGCUCUCACCUCAGUUGGCAUCCCAUCCGGACGAAUCACUGUGACGACAAUCUUGUCCGUCGGCCACUUAGACGGUGUCUUUGGUUUUCUAGGACGACGCAUAGGCCCAGGCAAACACUGCUGCUGCUCGUCUUCAAUGGAACAUUGCUGCUGCUCGUCUUCAAUGGAACACUGCUGCUGCUCGUCUUCAAUUGGUGACUCUACGUCCUCAGAAACAUUUCGUCGUCACCACUUGACGAAGAUUCCGCGGAAGACACCUAUCAAUCAAAGAUGCGGUUCAACAAAUUGCACAAGACUAAAUUUAGAUGCUAGAAAUAUGUUAUUCGCUGGAAAUGAUUGUGGAGACUGAUAGCUUACCAUUUUGAUGUGGAACUUGAUUCAAUAGCACACACAACGCCAGCGACUCAGCUUCAGCAUAUCAUACAUGGGUUUGUUCACAUGUAAAAAAGUGACCAUCAGCACAUUGUAAUUAUACUGUAAAUAAUCUGCAUUAAAUCAAUACUGAUGCAAAAUGAGCUGCUACUCUAGUGAAAAAGAAAUCAAUACCCAUGCCCAAUAUUGACUGAGUAAUCAUACAAAUAUUGACUGAGGAACAAAUCACAGCCAAUAGGAAGUUGUUGGGUUCACACAAGAAAGAAAAGGCUUACUGAUAUGCACAAGUUUUAUAGAAAAAAACAGUGACAUUAUAUAUUCCAACUCUGCUAUCAUAGUGUAAAAAAAUAAAAGAUGCACAUUCAGAGUUUUGUAGCAAAGUUUGGAUAGCAGGUAAAAAAAGCCAUUCAGAGUUUAGUUGUAUAGUAUGCUGUUACUGUUACUUAUUCAUUCACCAUGCAGAUGCACUAGUGUAAAGUGUAGUAAACUUUAACCACAGAAAGAAAAGAAAAGGCUGAAACAGUGAACCCUAUCUACACAUCGUUUUCAGUUUUCAGUUUUUCACCAAUGACAGACACAAGACCACAGACAAUUCCCAUGAAUUGAAAUGCAUCAAGCACGCAAUCAAAGAGGCAUACAAAUUGUCAAAAGAGGCAUACAAAUUGUCAAAAGAGGCAUACAAAUUGUCACAUAUAUACAGUCCUUCACAUUUCAGCUUAAGUCACAUAUAUACAGAAUCUAAGAUGACAAACCAAUAAAUAGGUCUCUCAUUUUCAGUUCAACAAUAUCAGUAACUACAGAAGAACACAAGUUUCAGUAAUGAACUAAUAAUGAUAUAGGCAUCUAGCAAGGCACUCAUCAACGAACCAUAGGUGAUGUUUGAUUGAAAUCAGAGCAUUUGGAAGGAACAAAUGAAAUCAGAGCAAGUGGGGAGCACUCACCCUUUCGAAAUUGGACUGGGAACACGCAGCUGCUGCAGGUGCUAGUCGCGGUGACUGGUGGAUCUCCAGCCCGAGGCCCCAACUCUGCGCGCCGCCGGCGAAGCCGCUAUGGCUUCCCUGCGUCGUCUACACCAUCCUCGCCUCCUGACCUCUUGACCUAUCAGCACCAUGAAAAACAAAUCAGUCGGCUGCGAGACUUGGGGACUUGGGGACUUGGGGACUUGGGGACUUGGGGAGUCAAUGGCUUACCUGCUUCUUGCUCGAGAGUCGAAGGCGGCGCACAGGAGAGAGGCGGCGCACGGGGGAGAGAGGCGGCGCACGGGAGAGAGGCGGGACUUGGGGAGAGAGGCGGCGCACGGGAGAGAGGCGCACGAGACUUGGGGACUUGGGAGAGGCGGCUGCGAGACUUGGAGAUAUACUCGUACUUGGGCCUGUACGCUUCCGGCCUAAACAAAAUAGAAUGACCUCUGCACAUGAGGAAACAAGUCAGCUUCACUGUCAAUGCUCCCUCCUGCACCAUUUGCUUGCCAUUCUAGAAUAUGAAUAUGAGCAGUUAGCAUGUUUACUAACCAUGAUAUCAAAUUAUUUGAAGCAAGCUGAAACCUAAUUCAACACAAGUAAAUGCAUACCUGAAGAAGAACAAGUAAUUUGUUCACGAUUCCAUCCAGGUAAGGCUUCAAAAUUUCCGGUGUACAAUUCUCACUAAAAUUCAAAAUUGCUGAAGCUGCAUGUGCCUGCCAACAAGAAUAGCAAAUUAGCAAUAGUCGCCAGGUCCUAAGAUGUAUGACAUGAAUAGGUACACAGGCCGAUUUAGAAAAUAAGCAUAAAGAAUUGUCAGGCCAACAGCUCUUGCAGAAUUGGUAAUUUAGUAUUUGUCAGGCCAUUCCACAAGAUGAAUCCAUGGAAAAAAAUAUUGUUCAUAACAUCCUGUUUCCUGAUGCUGUGAUGCAACAUGCUAAAAAUAUCAAUUUUAUAACUACCCAAAAAAGAAAAACAAAUAUCCUUUGGGUUGAUCAACUGAUUACUAAAUAUUUGACAUACUUAUAAAGUUAAAUCAGGCUAACCUUUGCACAUCCUUCCGCAAUCUGUGCAAGUGUAAUGAGCGCAGCAUGGUGCUUCUGCCACUCAGGAGCAGACAGGUACUGUGGUAGCAGCUCAGAUGCAAUUGGCACAAUUGUGUUCCCACCAAUGGCGAUGGCAAGGCGGUCAAGUCCACUUGUCCUGUUGCCAAUGCUCCACUGUUUUUUCAAAAUCAACACGACCCACCAUCUCAGCAAGGCCGACAAACUGGCCACUUGCAUUCACCUUCAAAAAGAGAAUACAUAACAGCAUAAGCAUGGUGAAUGAUCUCAAUGAAGCAUUAGUUUUUGCGCGCUUGCAGUUUUCGACGACGUUUUGCCACGGUGACCUCUUCUACAUGACCUUGUCUUAAGUAUGGAGUUUUCUCACUCUCUAGAAUCACAGGGAGGGUCCAAUCACCAAAUUGAGGGAUUUCACCAGAUGGAUUGUACUCUUCCUCAUCCACAUCAUCUUCAACUCCGGCCACCCGUUUUUUACCGGGGAGAACUACAAGGCGUUUCUUGUUUCUCGUGUCGAGCACAUAAAAGACUUGUGAAACCUGAGCUGCAAGUACGAAUGGUUCAUCCUUGUACCCAACCUGUUCAAAGUCAACAAUGGUGAAUCCAUAUAUGUCCUUCAUGAUGCCCCUUGUGCCCUUAACCCAACGGCACCGAAAAAUGGGCACCUUGAAGGGCACCUUGACGCCAGGAUAAGUGAGCUCCCAAAUCUCCUCUAUCUGACCAUAGUAUGCAUCCUUUUGUACAUCCGUGCUGUCGAAAGCAUCUACGCGAACACCACUAUUUUGGUACACGCUUUUCUGGUCUUGAGCCAAGGUGUAGAAUGUGUAUCCAUUUAUGUCAUAUCCCUGGUAAGUUGUGAUUGUGAACAAAGGGCCUUCUGCUAGGUUCCGAAGGCCCUCAUCUAUACAAGAGCUGAAAUGGAGGAUUCACUUUUUGAACCAAAUGUUGAAUCCCUUCAUAUGUGCCUUCGCUAUCCAAGCUUCGCUCCGACCUGGAUUCUCUUCACGCAACUUGUCCUUAUGCUCAUCGAUAUAAGGAGACACCUCUGCUGUGUGUUCCAACACGAGAAAGUGAGCUCGCCGGUAAUCAUCCAGAUCUGGAGUAAGUGUCUUCUUCCCAAGAGUCCCUGUCCCCACAAUCCUUCCCUCGUGGCGAGACUUAUACAUGCCGAUUGGAUUUGUAGGAUCAAUGUAACUAAGGCACCACUCAACUACCUCCUCAGCAGAGUAACCCUGGACCAUGCUUCCCUCUGGAUGAACCCGACUCUUUGUAUACCGAUUCAAAGUGCUCAUGAACCUCUCGUAUGGAUACAUAUGAUGGAGGAACAUAGGACCAAGAUACCGUAUUUCCUUAACCAGAUGCGCAAUGAGAUAAACAGAUAUAUCGAAGAAUGUCGGUGGAAAAUACGCCUCUAGAAGACACAUUGUCUGGAAAAUGUCCCUCUCAAGAUUGUCCAGUGACCUCUCAUCAAGAAUCUUCUGAGAUAUUGUAUUGAAGAAGAAGCAUAAGCCCAUGAUUGUCUUUCUGACUUUUUCUGGCAAAAUGUUCCUGAUCCCAACCGCAAGCAUUGUUGUGAGCAUGACAUCGCAAUCAGGAGCCUUCAUGGGGAGCAUUUUGUUCUCUUUGGCUGCCACAAGCUUCCUGAUGUCUGCGGAGUAUCCUGAGGGAACUUUCACGCUACGGAAGAAGUCGUACAACUCCUGCUUCUCUUCCCUCUUUAGAUUGAUUACAGAUAAUGGUAGUGGGGCAUUGGGGCUCUCGGGACGCAACUCGGGCCUUAUAUCCAUAUCUUCCAUAUACGCCCGUGCAUUUGCAUGGUCCUUGCUUUUCCCUUUGCUGUUCAAGAGUGUUCCGAGUAAGCUUUCACAAACAUUCUUUUUCACAUGCAUGAGAUCAAAGCUGUGGUGAACUGCUAUGUCUUUCCAAUAAGGCAACUCCCAUAGAAUUGACUUCUUCUUCCACCUCUUAUCAGCAACUUCUUCCUCCUUGUCCUUGUGCUUUCUCUUCACAAGGGCAAUCUUUUUGUUCUUCCCCAAUGAAACAUUGACAUCCUUUACCUGCUCAUAAACAUCAUGCCCACUGAAAUGCCUCGGAGCAGAUCCUGUCUCAACCGUGCCAUCAAACUGGCCUUCCAUGCGCCGGUAAGGAUGAGAUCGGCGAAGGAAACGACGAUGUCUUGUGUACACCCUCUUCUUUGACUUGUUCAGCCAAAGACUCUCGGUGUCAUCUAAGCAGUGAAAGUAAUCUUUCUCUCCUUUAGACUUCCUAGAUAAGCAACGGUGUCCUGGAACAUCGGUAAUGGUGGUUAACACCAUGGCAUGCAACUUGAAUGACUCUCGCUUGUACCCAUCAUAUACCUUGACACCAUCUGACCACAAGAUCUUGAGCUCAUCCACAACCAGCCUCAAAUACGUAUCGAUGUCAUUGCCAGGCUAAUGCGGACCUGGGAUCAGAAGUGGCAUCAUCAUGUAUUUCCUUCUGUUACACAGCCAUAGUGGGAUAUUGUAGAUCGACAGCAACACAGGCCAGACACUGUGUGAGCUACUCAUAUUACCGAAUGGGUUCAUGCCAUCGGUGCUCAGGGCAAAACGAAUGUUCCUUGCCUCAUCUUUAAAGAACUCAUACUUGGAAUCAAUGAUGCGCCACUGAAUAGCAUCUGCUGGAUGCCGUAGGUAAUCAUCAAUCUUGCGUCCCUCCUUGUGCCAACUCAGCAGUUGUGCGUCCUUAGCAGUUGCAAAUAGACGCUUCAGGCGAGGAACUAUAGGAAAGUACCACACCACCUUCCUGGCAGCUCCGUGUCUCUUGUUGUCAUCACCCCCAUCAUUUCUUUGUUUGUAUCGAGUUACUCCACACUCGGGGCACUCAGUCAGUUUAGCGUUGUCUUCACCAUGGUACAGGAUACAAUCAUUUUUACAAGCAUGAAUUUUCUCAACCUCCAGUCCCAUAGGGCAAACAAUCUGCUUGGCCUCAUAUGUGGUCUUGGGUAACUCAUUGCCCUUAGGAAGUAUGUCCUCUAAUAGAUGAAGAAGCUCAUCAAAGCUCCGGUCAGUCCAAUGAUGUGUCGCCUUGAGCUGGAGAAGCUUGAGAGUGGCAAACAACUUUGUAUACUUCUCCUUGCACCUCUGAUAGAGCGGCGUCUUCAUAUCUGCCACUAGCCUCUUCAACUUCUUCAAAUCCACUGUGGUGAACUCAUCAUACCCCAUGGCAUCAGGCACCAUCUCCUCGAGAUCCUCUGCCUUUUGGACAUAAUUGGCACCGAUAUCUUCUAGCUGAUCAUCAGUCACAUCCGGGAUGCAAUCAGUAAGAUCCGGGCUGCAAAAGGGUCUUUCCUCCUUGUCCUAACCAACAACAUGAGUUCCAUCAUCCUGACGUUGACUACCAGAGACUCCUUGGUCCAUACGACCAGCUUGCAAGUCUCGUCCAUUGACUCCUUCUUCCCCAUGCUUGUUCCAACAUUUGUAGUCUUCCAUAAAUCCUCGCAUGACCAGGUGGCCAUAUACUGUCAAUGAACUCAAGAGCUCGUUUCCAUUCUUACAAUCUUGGCACGGACACCAGAGAGUUGUCUUCUGUUGAUUCGACAUAUCCGCCUUUGCAGCACUUAUGAAUGAUUUCAGACCAUCUAAGUACUCAGCACAAGUGCGACAGCGAAGAUACAUCCAGCUCCGAUCCUCCAUAUCUACAAAAGUAUGAAGACAAAAAUGAAACCAACCAAUCAAUUCCACACAAAGGACUGAUAACUACUACUAUGUUUGACAGUAUGCCAGUUCCAUCAUCAUAGUUUGACAAAAUAUCUUAACAUAGAUACGCGGACACAAAGGACUGACUACUACUAUGCUAAAUCUGAAAUGAAACAAGAUGGUGUCAAAUGCAGCCUCGACUCAGCAUGCAUGACCAGGGAAAAAAAUUAACAGCACCUUUGAUCUAGUUAACUGUAGCUUACAUUGAUAAGCUACACUGUAGCACCCUUCCAUAUGUAAGAAUAUGCCAUAUAUGCAUGACUACAUGAGUAAAGUGAAGGUAUUUCUAACCUUUGAAAUAAAUUUGCUGCAAGUGGACGGCUCGGUGCUGCAGGUGUUGCGAGGUGGCGCCGGCCGGAGCGCCUCCCGAGCUGGAGCUGAAGAGUUCUGAUCCAGCAGCAGAACUGGAGCUAGGGUUGUCGAGCUCCUCCCGAGCUGGAGCUGGAGCGGCCGGAGCGCUGGGGUUAUCAGCUGGAGCGGCUGGAGCAGCAGCUUCGCGGACGCGGCGCGGGGCGGGCGGGCGGCCGGCACGGCGCGGCGCGGGAGGGCGGGCGGGCGGCCGGCGCGGCGCGGGCAAGGCGGGCGGCCGGAGCGGCGCGGAUAGGGUGCGGGCAGGGCAGCCGGCCGGAGCGGCGCAGACAGUGCGGCCGGCGUUGGGAAGGGCGUCGGCGCUGCGGAGAAUUUUUUUUACCGGAGAAGGAGCGGUGGCGUUGUGUAAUGGGGUGCUGUGUACAUGCAUUAAGAUUCGUGCUGUGUACAAGGUAUCUGUGACCCUUGUAAGCAAUAUGAGUCACUGAUAUGUCCCUCUAUCAGUGACGCGUCACUUCUAUUAUCAGUAACGCGCCUUCAUAAAACGCCUCACUAAUAGUACCUCCUAUCUGUGACGCGUGUUGUUAAUACGCGUCGCAGACUAUAUCAGCGACGCGUUUUCUUUACCCGCGUCGCUGAUAUAUUGUUCUCAGCAUUACAGGCCAUGGUGGCAGCUUAUCAGCGACGCGUCUAGCUAACCCGCGUUGCUGAUAGCCUUAUCAGUGACUCUUUUUGUUCUUAGUCUAUGUAGAAGCGUCACUGAUAAGGCUUUUUGGCAUAGUGCCUAUCGCCAUGUUUUUCAACUUUUAGUCCAUUUCCUCGGUCAACUUUUAGCUUUCAAAAGACAGCUCAACAGCUAUACUGUUUGUUUUAUCUUAUAGCUUCUAGUUAACAAAAACUAGCAAAAAGCUAAAACAAACAGGCCCGGGAAAGAUAUUUUAGCUAUUAGUUAGAGUAUUAAGUAGGUUGUUUGAUCUACUAGUGUGUAACACCCAAAUUUUUUAUUUCAAUUAAUAGGAAUUAAUUUGAUUUAUCUAAGUAUUUUUGUGAACAUUUAAUGUAGUAAUUUCAAUAAAUUUUAUUGAAAUUAAAAUCCAUCAUAAAGUAUAGUAACUUGUUUAUGCAUUCAUGCUGAAGCAUAUUUUAUUUUGUGUUGGUUGCCUUUGGCUAGAAUUUAAUUGCAUUCAAAAUUCUAUUUGGAAAAUGUUUUGAAGAAAAGGAAAUAAAAAAACAAGAAAGGCCAGUAGCAGCAGCGGCUUGCCAGCCCAGCUCGCGGCCCAUUUUCCCCGCAGCCCACGCGCGCCCCACCUCUCCCCUCUCCCUUCUUCGGCUGACGGCCGAGACCGCUGCGACACACGCUGACACCCGGGCCCCACCUGGCAGUGCCCUGCCCUCCCUUCUUCCUUCGCUCGUGACCGAGCCGGAGUUGAGGGCGUCUACCGAAUCUUCCCAAUCCCGAUUUCUCAGGGAUUCGAUCUCCCUGAGUCCUUUUUAAGCACCGUGGAGCAAACCACGACUUCCUUUUCCAUCUAUCGCACCGGGGAAGCCCCUCUAACCCUUGUUUGGCGAGGUCUAGAUCCCGCCGAACCUGUCCCCAAGCCGCCGUCGUGAUUGUCACCAAUCGAAGCUUCUCUGCGGCUUGAGAUUCGUCGCCGAGGUCCGCGUGGAGUUUCCAAAGUCGCUGAGCCUCUCCAUUCUCUCUCUCGUGUGAUCUAAGCCGCGCUAACCGCUGCCGAACCUACAGGAACGCUUUCGGCCGCCAUUCGAAGCACUACACCGCCCUCGUGGAUUCCUCGUCCCUGUCUUUGUGCUAGGUGAGUUCGCACAAAGCUCCGCUUUGUUUCCGUACCCUCGGCUAGGAGAAUGGUGCACUGAAUCGCGAGGUGGGUGAUCUCCGGUGAGGUUUUCGGCCUCACGGCCAUGGCGCCACCGAGCCGGGCCUGGGCUCCGGCGGCCGGCCGCCGCCUGGGACUCUCCCAGCUGAAUCUCAGCCGUUGGAUCGGCCCUGGAUGGUUAGGAUUAGAAGGUACCCCUUCGAGGGGAUUUUUCUUUAAGAGACCCUGGAAAAAUUGAGACUCACCCCGUGGUCCUUGGCGCCCUGUGCAAGUUUCCGCUUUCCAAGUUAGAAAGUGUAUUCCUAUCGGUUGAGUUCAAAUGCGCUUUCUAGAAAUUACAGUUUUGCUAUUGGUUUUGUUUUGGUCAUAAAAUAUUUGUUUUAACUCCGUUUUGGUCCAUUCAAAUUUCGUUAGAUUCAUAUUUACGAGCUCUACAUGUUAGAAGUAUUAUUUCACUGUUUUGAAUCUUUUUAAUUUCGUGGUACUAUUUAAUUAAUUAUUUCUCUAUAGGAAUCUUGGAAAAUUCAUAACUUCUACGUUUUAAAUCCGAUUUUCGUGAACUUUAUGUUUGUGUGAUCGUAGCGCUGCAUAGAACAUUUUGAUAAACUUUUAUCUUUGUUUUACUACUAUUUGGUGUAUUGUUCUAAUUAUAUCUUGCUUGCAUCGUGUAUGAUUGUCUACAUUGGAUUGCGUGUUGUUGAUUGAUGAUCGAGUAUAGACGGUGAGCGAUACGUUGGUGAUCAAGGUCAAGCUUUUGACGACCAACAGCAGUCUCAGGAGAGCUUUGAUCAAGGCAAGUAUAACUUGAGACCAUCCUUGUUACCUAUACACAAUUAAUACAAUAUAUCAUAUGCAUGUGUCUACCUUGAUGACCUUAGCAAAAUUAUAGAUGAUUGUUAUCCUGAAUUUCUUGUUACCUAUUUGGAUAUGCAUUUGCGGUAGUUCUUGCUAGUGUUUGAUUAAUAAUCCAUGAUCUUGUAAUAUGAAUAUUUGGAUAUACAAUAAACAAUAAAAUAAGCUUUCUAGCAACUUGAACAUAAAGGGUGGAAAGAACUCUAGCUUUUGCUAGAUUGAUCUUGACCCUCCAUAAGGACUUAUCCCUUGGCAAAAGCUGGGACAACUCGUACAACCAUGAGGGCUACAUGGCUCUGGUUUUAGCUCAGUAUGAGGACCUUUUUCUAGCUUGUUAGCGGUUACCUUAAAUGGCGUAAGAAUGGCUAGACACGUUGGGUAUAGUGUGGCCUCUAUCCAUGUGUAUAGGCUGUGGGUUAUGUGCCAUGGAAGGGGGGCUCUAUAUCUGCCUGCUGAGUGAAUCUAAUGGCCCUAAUUUGUUAGACGAAACCUUUAAAAGGCUUCAUAGUGAUCCCUGCCGACCUUCCUAGGAAGGAGGUUAAGAGACUUGCAACCUCGGGCGAAAGGGUAAAUCA